AAAAAAUAAAAGUAAUUAAACUAAUUACCAUAAGAAUAAAAAUAAGGGUUAUAAAAGUGGUGUUACUAGAGCCACUAGAUAUAGCCAGCGCAGCAAGGCACUAAGUGCCAAGGUGAUUUAUUGUCAAAAAUUUUAUAGUUGAUGAUCUGACACGUGUAGGCCAGGGUGUAUUAUUAAUUUAUCAUUCUUUCUAACUCGAUUGAUUACCAUGAAUGUAAUUUAAGUAAUGAUGGUGUUAUCCAUAAUCAUUUGUCAUGUGAAUCUUUGUGGAUUGAAUUGUUGACUCACCAUUAUUUUGGAGUGGUCGUUGUGCAUCCAAUUUUUUAAACAACGUAUAAAUCACCUUGGCACAAAACGUUGCUCAAGGAGCAAUGUCGACUUUGCCCAUCUUGGAAGUAGCGGGCUUGGCAUGGUCAUCUGCGACGCUCAUGGGGCGAAUCCGAGCCCUUGCAAUGGCCAUGGGAGCCCGGCAUAACAAACUGUUAUGCCGCCUUUCACUUUCUACUUCCUUAACAACAACAACAAUAUAAACGUCAUCGAGAAAGAGCGUAUCACUUAUAAUUAUCGUUUGUUUCUUUCUAAGGUACUUAUGAAUUAAUUGUCAAAAUUUAUAAUGCGACAAUAAUAUGAAUAAUGUCCGAUAUGAGCGGAAUAGACACUUAAUGCGGCAGAGAGGUAGGAAGAGGGCAUACGAAAUGGUUAAAAGGAAGAUGUGUGUCAGCAAGGCAGCAGCCUGGUGAUGGCGGGAAGGAAACAGACAAAACCUAUGAAACUUGCAUGGGGAUUCAUAAUCACAUUUCACAAAUUAAUUAAUAAACCAGGUAGCUAGAAAUAAUGAGUAGAAGAGGCAAGUUUUGAAAGGUCGGUAAAAGGCUUUGCAUGGUAAUGAAAGAAACUGCCGAAGUGGAUGGUGUACCUAAGUUGGCUCUUCAAUUAUUCCAAGACACAGGGCCGUAGAGCCCCGACAUGGACGUGUGUGGAUGUGGAGGGUUCGUAUAUAUAGUUAUAUCUGGGAUGCUCUGUUUCUCAGCUUAGCUGUGAGAAUUGAGUUGGCUGCUUCUCCCAAUCCACAUGAAUACAUCCUUCGGUGGAGAUUGCUGGUUCAAAGACAACUCUGUCUGUCCAUACAUACUACACAACACAAACUACCACAGCUUCGGUGGAGAUCAUAUCAUCUGAUAGAAAAACUGGACGAGUACAUAAUCUCAAUGGGUAUUUUAGUGUCUAACCAAUUACUGAAGUGGAACAAGCCCAAGAUUAGGACAAGUGAUCAUGUCAACUAUUGUGUUUACAUGUACAAUCUUACAAAGCAAGAUGAUUGGAAAGUUAAUACAGCAGGGACGAAAGUGAUCAUUGUAAACUUUAAUUGAUGUUUAACGUUAGAGAGGGACCUUCCCCUUCCACAUACCACCACCUCAAUUGUUGCCCUCUUUCUAAUUAUCAUGGUGCAUGAUCCAUGAUCAGUUUAACCAUUAUUAUAAUUAAUUAAAUACCAUACAUGUUGUGUUUACGCUUGACUUAUUUCGGACAUUUUAUAGUAUUUUUUCAAGAAUAUUACCACUUAUUAAUAAUCUUCACUUUUUAAAUAAUUAGGUUUAUUGCUUUCUAUCUUGAUGUCUUCUCGAUAUAACGAAACGAUCUAUGACGAACAAAAGACUUUUGUACAAAAGUCCAACUGAGAAGACGUUUUAGGGUAAUUACCUACCAGCUCAUGACUCCAGGCGGGCCAUGUAUAUUUGGACCCAUUGUGACGUCAGUCUUGUUUAAACCUAGGCCAGAAGAGGCCCAAUCGAAUAACGGUAUUGCUUGAUGUUGACCACCUGAUUAUAUUAGGCCCACACUCUUACCUACCCAACUGCACUAACCCAACUCAGAAAGAGGCCCAUUGCUUUCUUUUCGUCCUUAAUUUAAUGAUUUUAUUAUAAUUUUGGACACAACCAAUUUUUAAUUUUAGUGUUAUGGAACUUAUUUUAUAUUAUUUUCAUGCAAGCAAGCAAGCACUCACGGGGAAAAGAAUAUCUUUAAUUAAAUCAAAAGUUUUAAAUUAUUGAAUGGAAUAUACAAACAGUAUUAAUGUGGUUGAUCAACUUUACUUUAGCAAAAAGGAAUCACAAGACAACUUGUGAGUAAUAAUGGAAGAAUGAAGCUAUCUACAUGGCUUCUACAACAAUCAAAAUACCUUAAAUGUAUUGACUUGGAAAAUGCCCACAAAGUUCCACUUGACAAAUAGUAUGUGCUCCACUAUUUCCACCUUAGGGAGAAGUCAGGAACAAGUUACCAAAGGUGCAUCUUGAUAGGGGCAUUCCAUGAACCAUAGAUAUUCCUAGAAUUUCCAAGAACAUGCUUAUUUCGGUUGAGUGUGAUCAUUUGAUAGCAUUGGCGUACCAUAUCUUGACAGAGUAAAUAAGAGAACGAAUAGGGGAUUGGAAGACCAACUUGGCUCCUCCGUAAAUCGCCCGAGCUUCGGAAAUAAUAAUAGAGGAGCAUUAGAAUCUGGAACGUGAUUUAAUGGAUUCCAGUUUGUGUCUAGAUUGUCGACUUUUUGUUUUUUUUGGCGGCCUCUCCCGCUUUUCGUCUUGAAGCGGUGAUCUGUCGCUCUUUCAUCCGAUCUAAAUUGCCCGUUUGCUUGCAUUUUCCUCUCAUUUUAUGGAUUCCAUAUGUUUCUUCCUCUACCGGAUCUUGAUUGUACGAUUUACCUUCACUCUUUGUUUUCGCUAUCUUUUUCAACAAACUACAUUUAAACAAAUAAAAUACUACUUAAUUUAUUUAUAAUAAAUCUAGCAUUCUGCUAAACUAAGUUCGCUUAUUAUAAAUCUAGCAUUCUACCGAAAUAAAAAUGGUGAUGGUUAUGGUUAAUAACCGCCACGAACGUGGAUGGGGUGCACGCGCAACACCCCCGCCACGAAAGUGGAUGUGUAAUGAAUAUGUCAUGACCAUUCCCAAAUUUCCUUGUUGUCAAGCCUAUUUGUUAUAUGACGUGCAAUAAUCUUUUAUAUAAAUUUCGAUUUUACAAAAAAAAAAUUAUAAUUUAUUCAAUUUAAAACAUUUAAUUCAAAUAUUAAAAUUCAAAUAUUAAAAUGUAAAAUAGAAAUCCAAUUUCUCUUAUCCCAUCCACCAAAAUAUUACCCCCAAUUUUUUCUCCGUUCACCAAAUCCCUACAACUUCGCCACCAGCUCCCAGCAAAAAAAAAUGUCAGAGCCUCCAUUUCAAACCGCCGUCCGCCUCCGUCCCAAUCGAGUCCCCUACGACAUCGUCUCCGACAUCUUCCGCCAGCUCCCCGCCAAAUCCCUCCUCCGCUUCCGCUCCCUCUCCAAGCCUAUCUCCGAGCUCAUCGACAGCUACGAUUUCAUCCGCCGUCAUCUCGCCAACUCCCUCCACACCAAAUCCAACCACUCCCUCAUCCUUCGCGAUUGGAAACUCCACACCGUCGAUCUCGAUUCCCCCGACGAGGCCCGGGAUCUUACUCACCCACUCUACUCCGGCGGGGGUACCGAGGCUGGCGGCUCCGUAAAUGGUCCCGAGGCUGUCGGCUCCGUAAAUGGACUGGUCGCUCUCCGUAACUCCGAGCGGGAUCUCGCGAUCUAUAAUAUCGCUACUAGGCAGGGAAGGAAGCUUCCUGUUACUGAGGUUGAACCCCCUGGCGGCCAGUAUUUGAAGACUGGGUAUGUGUUUUACGGUUUUGGUUUUGAUUCUGUUCACGAUGAUUAUAAACUGGUGAGGAUGGCUACUUUUGUCGGGGAUGAGGAUGCUUGUGAUACUUAUAACUACAAUUACGAAGUUAAAGUGUAUAGCUACAGGAGUAAUUCGUGGAAGACGAUCAAGGACGUUCCUUUCUAUCUACGGUUUCUGCAUAAGCCUCUCUAUCAGGUGUUGCAUCGAAGAGGCUACGGAGUUCUCGUUGGUUCUGCUUUGCACUGGAUGGUGCCUCAACGGCCUACAUUGGGUUUGAAGGAUUACAUCGUCUCCUUUAACUUCGUCUCUGAGCAGUUCGUGGAAAUCUCUCAGCCAAAAUACGAGAACAGGGAUAUGAGCUAUGAGGUUGACGUGGGUGCUCUGGAAGGCAAGCUGUGUGCUAUGUGUAACUACGAUCAUGUUUGCGUUGAUCUGUGGGUGAUGGAGGAAUAUGGAGUCAAGGAAUCUUGGACUAGGCUUUUUUCAGUUCAGAGAAUUAGGAGUACUACUGCAUUUGCCUUCUUGAGACCUUUGAUUUAUUCCAAAGAUGGUAAUGAAUUGCUCCUGGAAGUAAACGAUGAGAGGCUUGUAUGGUACGACUGGAAGAAUGGGAAGGCUAGAUCGGUGAAGAUUCGUGGUGGGCCAAAGUCAUUUGGUGCAGUGAUAUAUGUUGAAAGCCUCAUUCCAAUUGAUGAUCCUGACGAAGUUGAGCGGCAACGACAACGAAGGGAGGAUGCAGCCAUAGAGAAGUUGAGAGCUGAAACUAACAAAUGGUAAAUUAUUUUGUAUUGUUAGGACGCAGAAAAAAAGCAAAAUUUCCUCUUAGUCGUCUAUCCAAAUGCUUAGAUUUUGUCCAAGUCUUUCUUUAUGCAUUGUUUCUUUUAUGGUCUUUUUGUUUAUAUCUUUAGUCUUUAGUUGUUACAGCAAUAUAUGUUGUUACCUUAAAGACUUGAGUUUCAAGUCAAUGGAAAUAUUUCACUUGAAACCACUAAAGACUAGUAGUGUGGACUAUCAAGUCAACUCGAGGUCAAUGUGAAUCAUUGUUACCUCUUAAAUCUCAUCUCUUUAUUUAGUAUUUGUUAUCUGUCAAUGCACUGGUCUACUUAAACAAUUCCCUUACUUAGAUGGGUCGACAUAUUUUAUAUUAAAGCUGCAUAAGCAAUAUGCUUGUUGAUCUGGAUAGCAUGUAAUGAACAGUGUUCUUAAACGCUUAGAGUUUGUACUCGUCCAUGCCACUCGCAACAUAACUGGGUCCCCAUACUUGGAUUCUUUUACCAGUUGGCAUUGACUUGCAAAGUCAUUGUUAUCCACAAAACCUGGUCUUUGGCCUAGUCAGACUGUGAAAUUGCAUUGCAUCUUCGACUGUCAAUUUGAUAUCCGUUCCUAUAUGUUGUCUUUCAUGGCUUAACCAUCUAAUUUACUCAUAAUUAUUGCUUCUUGAUCGCAGGGAUGACUUCUUAUCAGUUGGAUUUAAACUAAAACUGUGAUCGGCAAGAGAUCGCUCAGGACAGAGAUCGUCCACAGGUGUAUAUUUUUACCAUCUUUAUGAAAUCUGCCCGGUGAUAAAAUAGCUUGCAGUACUUUCUUCAUUGGCGAAGGUUCAAAGUUAACUCCAUCUAUUCAAACUCCCUUGCUACGGAUUCUGGAAGGGGACAAACUAACAUUUACAAUCUUUCUGGGACUUACUUACCUAAUGAUAAAUACACUUAAUCACAAUUCACAUUCAUACUUGUUUCCUAAUCGUUGAUACUGAAGUGCAGCAAGCAAUUCGCCAAGAAGUACGAAAAACUGCGUUGGAAUCGAUGAUGUCCCACCACAAAGGGAUGGAACCCUCCUCCCUAGUUGGAAAGCCUGAGCCGUGGGAAAACCAUCCUUGCCUAAAUUAUACAAGGAUUCUUGGGAGAUAUCUGUAUUGUUUCCUUGGAAGAAAGUGCUUGUAGAAAGGAAAGGAUCGUGUAAAGACAGUGUUUGCACCGAUCAAACAACCAAACAGUGUGAAAGAAUAAAAACUGGAAAAUGAAAUCGACCCAAAAAAAAGAAGAAAAAAGGAAAAGAGACAUUCUAAAGGUAGAAGUUUGUGUACAUGGAAGUGUGUUUCUGAGCAGGAAGAUGCUUGCGGGGCAAAGCAAGAUGCUUGAGCUGCAACUUACUUAUCAUGCUGUGAUUGACAGAGUUGGACCUAUACAUUUUACAGUACCUGUGUUGGUUUGUAUAGCUACAAUACUAUCGGCUUUAUAUGCAUGAAUUUAUCAUCAGCUAACCUAAAGACAAGAGUCUGGUUUUUGGAUCGGAACUCAGUUCUUUAUUAGAUUGAGUGUGGAUUUGAACUUGUAAUCUCCUUUUCUUGAUGACGGAAUCGGGACGAAAAUGUGCAUUGAAUCAAAUUUUUAUAAGUGUAUGGGGUAAUUAAUUGGCGAAUAUAUUUUUUUAAAUCUAUAAUUAAUUUAAAAUAAAAAUAAAAUACUGCUUUAAUUUAUAUAUUUAAAUUUUGUGAUUGUUAUUCAUUCUAAAUAAAUAAAUAGAAAAUCAGAACUUCAAAUACUACUAGCAGUAUUAUAAAAUUUUCAAAAUUUUAUAUAUUAUUUAGGACUCGAGAGCAGAAAGUAAGAUAUCCGGAACUCUCUUUGGCUCUCUCUAAUUCUGACACGAUUAAGCACUGAGCCGAAUUCAAAAUUACCCUGAAUCAAACUCAAAAAAAUUAUAAAUAUACACGUAAUAUUAAUAGUCCAGACCGAAACUGAAAUAGAGCCGAAAAUCGACCACCCACCCUUCUAGUUCCGCCGAUGGAGGUCUAAUUUGCUAUACCAUUAAAUUACAAGUCAUCUAGUUACAGAUUUGAAACCGUAAUCUCCGACCGACGAACGAUGUUUGCAUACAAACCGCGCUGUAGGGUGUUUCUGCAGCCCAGUCUACGUGUAGCAACUUAUUGGCUGCAAGUUUUUUCUGCCCGAAAUUACAGUCUUUGCCUGACACGAAAUUAUAGAGCUACUAUUACUAACCGAGGGGUUUGGCUGCAAGGUUUUUCUAACCGAGGGGUUUGACUGCAGGACUUCGAAGUCUCGAGAAUCGAACCGAGUCGGUUGGAAGACAUAAGAGAUGCAGACCCGAUCCUGUCUAGUAGCUGCAAAGAAAUUCUAGCUAUGGAUGCUGAGUAUAUUGAUUCUGAUGCUUUAGCGCUGACGUUUGUUAGGGACGUUGAGCAGUACUUGCGACCCAGGAAGUUUAUAGAACUCUUCCCAGGCGGGGAAAACAUCGCAGUGAAUAGCAAGAACAGAAAAGUUUAUAUAAACCUUGUGAUUCGACAUCGAUUCGUCACGUCUAUCUCUGAACAGGUAGCACAUUUCAGACGAGGUUUUGCUGAUAUUCUUCCAAAUAGACGACUCUUCUUUAAAGGUUUGGAGUUUGAAGAUCUGGAUUGGAUGCUGCAUGGUUCUGAGAGUGCAAUCUCUGUUGAAGAUUGGAAGGCACAUACCAAAUUACAAAGGCUUUAAAAAGAAUGAUCGUUGGAUCUCCUGGUUCUGGAAGGUAUUGAGCAUAUUUAGUUACAACUUAUUAAGGGGUCGUUUGGAUAAGGUAUUUUGGAGCAAAAUAAUUUGUUAUUUUAACCCAAAUACCAAAUACCACAUCCAAUCGACAUAAGCUCAUUCUUUAAUAUGACUAUUGAUAUAAUUUGAUUGAAACUUGCAGAUAGUGGAGAAAAUGACAGCAGAGCAAAGGAAGACGCUGCUCUUCUUCUGGACAUUGGUGAAAUAUCUGCUGUACGAGGGUUUCAGAGGUUUAGGUAGUGAGCUGUGGAUAUGCGGGACUCAGGAACGACAUGAUCGGUUGCCUUCAUCUCACACAUGCUUCUACGAGCUGCUUGUUCCGGCUUAUCCAUCUAUGGACGAUCGAUUCCGCCUGAUAACCCAAGACUACAUCGGAUUGAGCUAUGGCAGUCCCUGAUAAAACCAAAACACAAAAUUACAAAGGGAGAAUUCCUCUGCUUCCAUGAUCGGAUAUCAACUAGGAAAGCAGUCUGGUUUAUUCAGGCUGGCAAAGAGCAUCAAAAGACAAAAGUCCUCUGGUACUUGUUCUUCAGGUUUUGGAGCAUUUCACAUACUCAUUCUGGGUUUGAAGUGCAUCUUUUUUGGUAGAAAGGGUGGACGAUUGCCUUAAUGCAACGUAUGAACAAUGUGAACUAUCUAAUUACGUUGAAGAAGUUGCUGAAUCUCCUUUGAUGUAGGCUUGAUGGCGGGCGUCCCCCGAACCAGUACGUUAUUAAAUUUAUAAUUUUCUCAUUGAGAUUGACCAUUAGCUAUGUGAAAGUUUAGUAAUUUAUUAUCUACCCAUACGAUUAUAAGCUUCAAUUGAUACGUAAACUCAACGGUUAGUAUUUCCGUUCUAGAUAUAUCGUGGUAGAGAAAAUUAAAAUUACAUACAUAUAUAUUUAUCAUUAACUCAUUAUUUCUGUUAUUUUUAAUAUAUUAUUUUAUCAUUCAUGCUUAACGACAAUAAAAAGUAGUCGUGAUUAGAGCUCAAAGAGAUCAACUUACGAAACAUGACAACACAUAUAGCAAGUGUGUGAUACAACAUUUAACCAACUAUAUUUUUAAAUACAACAUUUAACAAGCUUAUUUUUUACUAGUAAAUACUAUAUAUCAACAUUGUUGUUUCAACAAACCCCUAAGUUUACAAACAAAAACCCUUCAAAACAUCCACAUGUUAUUAUUCAGACCGUCAACUUGAAAUUUAUCAUAUGUCAAUGGUUUCUUCGAAUCUGAUGACCCAUAAUAUAUGUAUAGAAAGGUAAUUGAAUUAUGUUUCCAACGGCUCUAAACUUGCACAAAUCGGAGUCCCGAUUAGAGAGGAAUGUCCGAAAUACUAAACUGGACAUCGAAUUUCUCACAAAUAUAAAACUAAGUAAAAUUAAUUUUUAACUUCAUUUGACCAUUAUUUANNNNNNNNNNNNNNNNNNNNNNNNNNNNNNNNNNNNNNNNNNNNNNNNNNNNNNNNNNNNNNNNNNNNNNNNNNNNNNNNNNNNNNNNNNNNNNNNNNNNNNNNNNNNNNNNNNNNNNNNNNNNNNNNNNNNNNNNNNNNNNNNNNNNNNNNNNNNNNNNNNNNNNNNNNNNNNNNNNNNNNNNNNNNNNNNNNNNNNNNNNNNNNNNNNNNNNNNNNNNNNNNNNNNNNNNNNNNNNNNNNNNNNNNNNNNNNNNNNNNNNNNNNNNNNNNNNNNNNNNNNNNNNNNNNNNNNNNNNNNNNNNNNNNNNNNNNNNNNNNNNNNNNNNNNNNNNNNNNNNNNNNNNNNNNNNNNNNNNNNNNNNNNNNNNNNNNNNNNNNNNNNNNNNNNNNNNNNNNNNNNNNNNNNNNNNNNNNNNNNNNNNNNNNNNNNNNNNNNNNNNNNNNNNNNNNNNNNNNNNNNNNNNNNNNNNNNNNNNNNNNNNNNNNNNNNNNNNNNNNNNNNNNNNNNNNNNNNNNNNNNNNNNNNNNNNNNNNNNNNNNNNNNNNNNNNNNNNNNNNNNNNNNNNNNNNNNNNNNNNNNNNNNNNNNNNNNNNNNNNNNNNNNNNNNNNNNNNNNNNNNNNNNNNNNNNNNNNNNNNNNNNNNNNNNNNNNNNNNNNNNNNNNNNNNNNNNNNNNNNNNNNNNNNNNNNNNNNNNNNNNNNNNNNNNNNNNNNNNNNNNNNNNNNNNNNNNNNNNNNNNNNNNNNNNNNNNNNNNNNNNNNNNNNNNNNNNNNNNNNNNNNNNNNNNNNNNNNNNNNNNNNNNNNNNNNNNNNNNNNNNNNNNNNNNNNNNNNNNNNNNNNNNNNNNNNNNNNNNNNNNNNNNNNNNNNNNNNNNNNNNNNNNNNNNNNNNNNNNNNNNNNNNNNNNNNNNNNNNNNNNNNNNNNNNNNNNNNNNNNNNNNNNNNNNNNNNNNNNNNNNNNNNNNNNNNNNNNNNNNNNNNNNNNNNNNNNNNNNNNNNNNNNNNNNNNNNNNNNNNNNNNNNNNNNNNNNNNNNNNNNNNNNNNNNNNNNNNNNNNNNNNNNNNNNNNNNNNNNNNNNNNNNNNNNNNNNNNNNNNNNNNNNNNNNNNNNNNNNNNNNNNNNNNNNNNNNNNNNNNNNNNNNNNNNNNNNNNNNNNNNNNNNNNNNNNNNNNNNNNNNNNNNNNNNNNNNNNNNNNNNNNNNNNNNNNNNNNNNNNNNNNNNNNNNNNNNNNNNNNNNNNNNNNNNNNNNNNNNNNNNNNNNNNNNNNNNNNNNNNNNNNNNNNNNNNNNNNNNNNNNNNNNNNNNNNNNNNNNNNNNNNNNNNNNNNNNCAUCCUAAACUAACACAGAGUAAAAUUAAUUUCUAACCACGAUUGGCGAUUAUUUACUAGCGUUACCAUGAUGAAAUUAGAUUUUUUGUCAUAUCAAACACGCAUGUCAAAUAUUAUUCGAUUUGAAAAUUUUGAAAUUUUCUUGUGAAAAUGGUCGAUUUCCAUAGGUUAACCCCUUUGGAAAUUGACAAUUUUGAGCUUAGAUUUAAAUUUUUUUGAAUUGGCUAAUAUUUGGCAUGCAUGUUGGGAGUGGCUAAAAAUUGUAGUUUCACCAUAUUAAGCCUUUCAAAUAAUAGCAAAAUGAAGUGGAAAACAUUUUUCAACAUGCUAAACUACCACAUAGUAAAGGUAAUUUCUAAUCAUGUUUGGCCAUUUUUUACUAGCGUUACCAUGAUGAAAUUAGAUUUUUUGUCAUAUCAAACACGCAUGUCAAAUAUUAUUCGAUUUGAAAAUUUUGAAAUUUUCUUGUAAAAUUGGCUCAUUUCCAUAGGUUAACCCCUUUAGAAAUCGACAAUUUUGACAUGAAAUUUGAAUUUUUUUAAAUGGGUUAAUAUUUAAUAUGCAUGUUGGGAAUGGCUAAAAGUUGAGGUUUCACCAUGUUAAGUCCUUCAAGUAAUAGCCAAAUGAGAUUAAAAAUAUUUUUCAACAUGCUAACGACUAAAAUUGAUUUUUAACUACGUUAGAUCAUUAUUUAAAGGGGCUACCAUAAUGAAACUUAAUUUUUAAGUCAUUUCUAACAUGCAUGUCAAAUAUUAGUCAAUUUGAAAAUUUUGAAAUUUUCUUGUGAAAAUGGUCUAUUUUCAUAGGUUAACCCCUUUGGAAAUCAAUGAUUUUAACAUGAAAAUUUAAAUUUUUUAAAUAAGUUAAUAUUUGAUAUGUAUAUUGGAAAUAAUUAAAAAUUGAGGUUCCACUGUAUUAAAUCCUUUAAAUAAUAGCCAAAUAAAAUUAAAAAAAAUUUUCUAAUAUUUUUCACCAUGUUAAACAUCCGAUUCAUGCAACGAUUAUGAUUCCAGAACCUAGCUAUAAAAGUGUCAUAAGACAAGAGCUAGCAUCGCAAAUAAAUCCUCCCCACAAACCAAUCUUCUGGAAUAGUUCAAUCGGCUGAAACAAGAAGAGGGUUAAUUUGAUAAUUCCUUGAGGACGAUGAAGAAGGAAGCUCGGUUUCGGCGAGGGGACCGCGUGGAAGUGUUGAAUGACAAAGACGGGUUCCAGGGGUCCCACUGGGAGGCGGUGGUGAUCGAACGUUUGGGUUCGAAUCGGUACAAGGUGGAGUACACGAACCUGAUCAUAGAAGAGGGGUCGACGGAACUGCUGACAGAUACGGUAAGAGGGGAGAUGAUGCGGCCUUAUCCCCUGAGAAUUUGGUUUGGGAAAGGUUUCAGGGUGAGGGAGGUUGUCAAUGUGUGGGAUAAGGAUGGUUGGUGGGUCGGGAGAGUGACGGGGAGAGCACAAGGAGGGUUGAUGUAUUAUGUUUACUUCGAUGCGCCGUACGAGCAAGAGAUUGUUUAUCCGGUUUCGAUGAUCAGACCUCAUAUCGAUUGGGUCGACGGGACCUGGAUUCAGCACUCCGUUAUUAAAAGCAAGAACAAGCUAAUUGGUUAAUUUUGUGGUUGUUCUGGGGAAUGAUGAAUUUCCUUUGCAAUAUGUUACUUGCACAUUGAUGCAUGUCCAGUUGUAAAUUGUAUUCUUCCUCUCAAAUUUAUGUGUAAAUCUGUUCUUUCUUUUGGGAACUCCUAUCAUUCUAGAACCCCCGCAGUUCGCAAAAUCUGAAAAAGAAAUGCACCAGCCGGGAAUCGAACCCGGGUCUGUACCGUGGCAGGGUACUAUUCUACCACUAGACCACUGGUGCCUAUUGUUGCUCAUUUCUAACAACAGAAUACUUGGAAUAAUCAACGUAUAAUGUUUGUUUUAAACGGUUGAAAUGCAAAUCAUUGGAAUAAAAUGGCCAAACAUUGCAGUAGGAAUAGCAUUGUUAGGAUCUACAUCAUCGUCCAAUUGGUAGUUUUGAUCAAUAUGAUUUAGUAUAACAGAAUAACAUUCUUACUGUAUACCAACAUUCAUUUUCUACAAUUUUCUGUAACACAUUUUCUGAAAGUGAUGGUGCAAUAGACUCAGAUAUAAUUUCGCUUGCUUGCCAUACGAUUACGAACAAAAGCUGGUGAUCUUACGUGUCUUAACUGAGUAACUGACAAGUACCAUUGUGCAAUACGAGAGAGCUGCAGAAACAAAAUCUAAAAGAUACAAAGCUGGACUGGAGUGGACUGGUUCCAAGUGAUUGUUUCUCGCUCACAGUCGAAUUCCAGCCUACAGCAAUUCUAUGCCGAGAGUGAACAAAUCACAAACUCACAGCUUUCAACUUACAACCUUUCUUAGUACUGCUUCUGCGCGCUGCUCAAACUUUGGUAAGGCCCAUUCAUGCUGAACUAUGUCUAGACCAUCUUUCUCCGCACCCAAGUUCUGCCAACAACCAACACCAACCAGAUUAAGAUCCUAACCGCAUUUACAUUUCUCCAAGAGUAACAUACUAGAUACAUAUGCAUUCAACCAAUUACGGGAAUCUCACUACACAUUAGUAAGAUAUGUCUUGUGUCUGUUCUAAUUCUAGUUCCAGAAACGUUAAUCAAAGGAGCCAAAGAGAAACAACAAGACAGCAUUCAUUGUGUGGCUCUCCAAGACAAAAUAUGCAAUCUAUUUACCUUACAAAAGACUGAAAGAUGAUGCAGCUAUCGUAACUAAACAGACAUUGCAUCCAGCUACUAAGUAUAUCAUAUUAAACUUGCAAUGAUCAGUCAGUUCGCAAGAAACAGUAACUCAGUGAAUGCAUGUACCACAAUGAAUAUUAUUAGCAGGUAAAGACUAAAGAGAGUUGAUCAGACUUGUUAAUGGAUAUUUUAGCUGAAUGAAGGAUAAGACUUCCGCUAGAUUGAGGACAUGGUACGUCAAAAAGAAGAUAAGGAUUUCCAACUGUUAGUGGCAAAUGCUAUGAACAUAAUGCUACAGAUGUUUACUGACUGAUGGAAACAUAUCAUUCAAAGGGCAGCAAUCGUAUAACCGGAUAAGGAGUAAGCAGCUUGGGACUGAACAUCUAUAUACAAUUUCAAACAUGCAUCUUUCAUGAGGAUGUCGGAUAAGUGCCUACCUUAGUAGGAUCCAUGCCAAACCCACUCAUUUGCAUCAUGCGUUGGGUAUCAUCCAUGGCUGCAUUAGAGGAAAAUACGUUAACAGAAAGUAACAGAAUUCAAAAAUAUGAACAGCGUCAUUUGCAACAUCUAGAUAUUCACCACUGGAUAACUAACCAUUAUCUUCACCCAGGAUCAGACUGAAAAAGCCCCUUAACCCGAACAAAUUAAGAAAAUACCUGAAAGGACAUAAUUCAAGAGAUUUCUAAUUAAUAGCAUAUUAAAGAAUUAGAGAGCAAUGUCAAAAAAUUUCAUUACAACAGUUAUAUUACCAUGAUCGACUACUGACAUAGCUAACGUCAACAGUGCUCAAGUCAAUCCCAUUUUGAAGCAUGGACCUGAACCUCUGAGUCAGUGGAAAUGGUAUCUUGGCUGGGAGAAACAUGGAAUAAACAUUAAACAGAAGAAUUAGUGAAACACCAUAUUGAACCGCGUAGCAAUUUACACAAAUUCAAAGUGGAGAGACAAUAUUUAACAGAGACGAUCAGGAAGCAAACCUGCCACGAAUCCAGAGAAGAAAAAGUUGACAAACGCAAAAGUAAGAGUCUGGCAAAUAACAGCAACAAAACAACAGAGUUAAUAGCCUAUACGUCUUAUUUUGUGAAACACAAUAGAGAAAACAAAGAUUACCUGAGGUAUAAUCAUAGAAAGAUUCUUCUUCAUCAUAUCCAUGGCCAUAUUUGGAUCAGAGAACAUUUGAGCUUGUGGGUUUUGACCUUGGCCUUUAGGAAUAUACAGUAGUCCAUUUUCCUGCCAGCACCAUAAAAACAUAAACUUUCAUACUUACUGCCGUGAAAAAAUAACACCAAUACACUGAAAUGCAUAUGCAUUUAACAGAUUUUAGCUGCAAACUCUGCACUUCUCCAGCUGAUAGGUGUUUCCAUCAACUAAUCCACCAAGGCCAAAACCAAAUUUAACCAAAAAAUGCAACUUACAAUCCCAAACAUACAAAAUCUGCGUGUCCUUUGAAAACCUAGACCACCAAUUCUGCUGUUUCAUUGCAAUUAGUUCAAACAAGGCAGGGUGCAAUAGGAUUCCUUCUACCAAAGCCAAGUAUUGAAAACUGAUCAAGCCCAAGAAACUAGGAGGAUCAUGAAGAAGAAGAAGAAGACAAACCUCGUUGCUAAAAUAGGCUCGACGAGCACGGAAGGACUUUGCAGGAAUGAAAUUAGCCGCCGCCCUCAGAUUCCGAGCCCUAAUAAUCACCUGCCUGAAAUUCCACAACAAGCAAAAAAAAAUCAAAUUUUCAACCAACCCAGUUCCCCUAAUCGGAAACGAUCGAGCUAGUAGACGGAAGGGAACUUAAAGGCGAACUUGCCCUUCUCUGACGAUCUUGGCGUCGGGGGUCUGAGAAGAGGACCGCAUGAGCUUGGAGACGAAGUAGCGGAGUACUCCGAUGAGAACCAUGACGACGGAGAGCGGAAUCAGAACCCAAUCUCUGAUCGCUGUGUCAAGCACCAGAUCCUCCGCCAUUAUUGCUAUUUCCGUAUUGGGUACUCCGCUAAAACUAAUGCGCCGCGAUGGUUCUUCAGGUACCUACCAGUCGCUCUUCUAUGGCGAAACGGAAGGUCUCUGAAUCGCUCGAUAACGGAAGAGAGAUGGAGAGAGAUCUUAAGAAGGGGAAAGAGUGGUUGUCUCUGCUUCCGUCGCCGUACUUCGCCGUGAGGUUUUGGCUUCUUCUUCUCUGGAUAAUACGUCGCCGUUUUUGGCUUACUGGAUUCUGCUGGAAAAUCUAGCGUCCGUUAACUGAUGUAACAACUGGGUUAAGAUUCGAUAAUUCGAUUACUGCUAGCAUAUUUGUUGAAGUUCAAUGAUUGGUGGGUUAGUAUUAGAUAGUUCAGUGAUUAAUAAGUUAUUAACCGAGAAAGAUAUUAUAUAAUUGUAAUUUUCACCGUUCUGAUACAAAGACAUGAACUAAGUCCGGAAAUAUAUAUAUAUAUAUAUAUACCAAAGGAAUAAUUAUGCGCUGCUUACCUAGCUAAUAUUGAAUACGAAAUGCUAUUAGAUAUGUAAAAUUAUAUUGUAUUAUCUUAAUCAUUAUUAUUGUAUUUGAUUUAACAAUGAUGUAUUUGAUAUUUUUAAAAUCCGUACGAUAAAAUUUACAUAAGAAAAGGUCAAAGUUUAACAACCUCGAAUAGAAUCUACCUCAUUAAACUUCGCAUCACCACAUGAAUAUUUUACUAUUUUACAAAUGACAUUUUUAAACUUCUAAAUCCAUUUCUCAAUUUCUCUCUUCUUCUUUUUCGCCUCUGAUUUGCAUUGAAUCAUCAAUCUUGUUUGCUCUUCUCUCACAACACUUAAUUAUUGCUGAACUUGUUGAACAUUAGUUUCAAAGACCCUCUUGAUCCCUGUUUCAUUUGGCUUUAUAACCAGUUACUAUUAUAUCGUUAACAAUCGUUACAUUGCGUGGUGGUGUGUUUCGUACCAAAUGGCGCCAUUGUAGUAAAGGUGAGUUCAUGCUGGUAUAUAAUUAAGGUGUUGAUUGAUUGAUUAAGAAGAAAUAAUGGACAAGAAUGAGGAGGAAGCAAGUAAAGCUGCUCAUGAACAAGGUGAGGGAAAGGACAGCCAUGGAAAAGAUCAUCCGGAGGAAGAUGAAGAUGAUGAUCAUGAGGAUGAUAGAAAGAUUGAAGUGGGUCCUCAAUACACACUCAAAGAACAACUCGAGAAGGAUAAGGUAUACUACGUCCUAAUAUUUUCUAUUACAAAUCAACAACAAAAAAACUCGACUUCGGAUGGAAUAAUGUGACGAUUCAGGUCCGGUUUUUAAGGUUCGAUUAUUAAUGUCUUGGAACUAUAGAUCAGAAUAUUGUAUGUUUAGGGUUCAUAACUCAUUAUGCUUUGAGGAUGGUUAUAUUCUUUUGUCGAGUUUCGGACUCAUCUUCAUGAAUCACUAUAUGUAACUAUUUAGGAUGAUGAAAGCUUGAGGAGGUGGAAGGAGCAACUCCUUGGCGCUGUGGAUAUCGAGGCUGUUGGAGGUAAUUCUAUUACGAAAAAUUUCUCUUACGGUCAUAACUUAUUCCAUACUUCUAACUAUUCAUACAUUAGCUAUUUAGAAUGGUUCACGACAUAUGUUUUUUACUCGUUAAAGGGGUACCACGACGAAUCAUUCAAUCAUACUAUGUUCCAAUUAUGUGUUAGUUAGAAUGAUACAUUUUGUGAAAUCAUGUGUAACAUUAUAAUUUAUGAACCUCUAGCUCUUUAAGGACUCUAAUACAACUUUAUUAUCAAAUCUCCAGAAACUUUGGAUCCAGAAGUGAAGAUUUUGAGUUUAGCCAUUAAAUCUCCAGGCAGGGAAGACAUUGUUCUUCAAAUUCCAGACGACGGUGAUCCGAAAGGCUGUUGGUUCACCUUGAAAGAAGGCUGCCGAUACAGUUUACUAUUCACUUUCGGCGUCAAGAAUAACAUCGUAUGCGGCCUAAGAUACACCAACACAGUUUGGAAGACUGGAGUCAAAGGUUUCUCUUCCCCUCCAUCUCUCUGUUUUCAUACUGCAGUUUUCUAUGGAGGAGUCAAAGGUUUUUGUUUGUGUUUCUUUCAGUUGACAGUACAAAAGAGAUGCUUGGAACUUUCAGCCCUCAGGCAGAAACAUACACACACGAGCUGCCUGAAGAAACUACCCCUUCUGGUAUGUUUGCCAGAGGUUCAUACUCCGCUAGAAGUAAGGUAAUUAAGCUGGUGAUUUCAUACCAAAUCUACCCUUUUAUUCUCUGGUUUGAAAUUAGUUACAGCUUCGAUAUUUGUCGUGCAGUUUGUUGAUGACGACAACAAAUGUUACUUGGAGAUCAACUACACCUUUGAUAUUCGUAAAGAAUGGCUGCCAACCUAAAAUCCCAUCCCAUGCAUGCAUGCAACUACUGUAAUGGCAGAGCUUCAGUUUACAAGAACACAACAACAGUGAUAAUUAAUUAGCACAUUUCUGUUUUGUUUUUGUUCUUCGUAUGUUUUAUUAGUCCUGUGGCUGUUAUUUCUCUGUUUCAUCUUUGUUGAGUUUGUUUCUUCUUUCUUGCCUCUGAAAUUUUGAAUCUUUUUACUGAACUAUGAAGCAAUGAGCAUUUUUAACACCAAUUCAACAUCAGCAUUCUCAUUCAUUUAAGACCGGAACUCUACAAACUGGAUAAUGCUGCUAUUUUCAGCAAGAAAAAUCAGCAGAGCAGGCAGUAGUUCUUCCAGUUUCCUGCACUUGCUUUGUUAAGGGAACGUUAGGACCCAACAAUUCAUUCACAACAUCCUUCAUCGUGGGUCGUGUGCCGGGCUCUUUCUCUGUACAUCCCAGGCCAACCAUGAGCACCCUAAUAACUUGCUCCAUCACGCUGGAAUCAAGAAACACUUCUUCUCUGCCAAGCCUUGGAUCAGCUAUGGCCUUUAGAACAUCUUCAUCGUCGUGCACCUCAUCCCAAGUGGACCUAACCCAUUUCACUAUGUCGCUCCCUUCUGGAAACGACCCGUCCACAGGUCUCUUCCCUGUAAUCAGCUCGAGUAGCACGAUCCCGUAGCUGUACACGUCUGAUGCCUUGCUCUUACUUGUUGCAAAUGCAUUUUCUGUUAUAACAAGAAAUCGUUAAGGAAUAAUCUAAAAACCAAUCUGAAUUCCAUCACAAUAAAUGAGUGAAAGCUCAGUUCUUUACCUGGAGCGAUGUAUCCAAUGGUUCCGUCGAGCAUCAUUGAUUGAGUCGAACUGUUGGAGGAUUGAUCGAGGAGCUUAGCGAUCCCGAAAUCUGAGAUGUGAGGCUCCAUGUCGGAGUCCAACAGGAUGUUUUCCGGUUUGAUGUCGCGGUGGAUUAUCGGCGGGUUGCAAUCAUGGUGGAGGUACUCCAAUGCAUGAGCAGUUCCAAGGGCUAUCUUAUACCUCGCACUCCAUUCGAGGGUUCGUUGUUGCGAGGAGUUUCCGUGAAGGACAUCAUGAAGGCUCCCAUUCUCCAUGUAGCUAUAUAGGAGCAAGCCGUAGUCUUUUCUUAACCAGAAGUCCUCCAGCUUGAUGAGAUUUCGGUGUCUGAUCGUCCCGAUGGUUCCAACUUCUCUGAUCAUGCUCCUGUUACCACCUCCUCCUCUACUGCCUGCGAAGGAGAUUCUCUUCACAGCAAAGGUCUCACCUGUGUCCAUUGGUACCUUGUAAACAGUUCCAUGAGCUCCCCUUCCUAUUAUGUGUUUCUCAUUUAGAUCCUCAGUAGCUUCCAUCACCUUGUUGAGCAGUGAGGAUGGCCCUUCCAACGCAGCAAUCUCGAUAUCCCUCUUAGGCCUCCACCACAACACGACCAAACACAACAGUCCGAGAAUCGAGAGAACAACAACGAUGGAGGCCACUGCUAUAGCUGUAACUUCCAAUAUACUAUGGCCUUUUUCCUUUUUUUGACAUGGCUUGAUAUCAGUCUUCAAACUGCUGCAAGUCGAGUUGACUAGCUGUCGACAAUCGAUGCAUAGACUUGGGUUUCCUAAGAACGAGGACGGGUCUGAGUUUCGCAACUGCAAGAGACUAUCUGGUAUUGGUCCUGAGAAUAGAUUGUAUGAAACAUUGAUAAGGACAAGGGAGAGCAUGUUAUCAAGAGAUUCCAAAGAACCUGUUAGCUUAUUGUUUGAUAAAUCCAGCUGUAGUAAGUUUCCCAGCUUUCCUAGUGAUGAAGGAAUCACACCAGUCAAUCCAUUGUUACUGAGAUUCAGUGCAUACUGCAGACUUUGCAAAGAGCCAAUGGACGAAGGAAUCUCUCCCCCAAGAGAAUUUCCACCUAUUUUCACGUCUGUAAGCAUUUUAAGCUCUGAGAGGAAAGAUGGAAUGCCCCCGGUGAACCGGUUCUCGCUUAAAACCAAUGUUGCCAGCUUUGUCCAGUUGCUCAGACUUGAUGGAAUAGAGCCACUUAGUGAGUUGAACCCAACAGCAAACACCUCCAUCUGGAAACAAUUUGAAAGCUCAGAUGGCAAAGAACCUUCCAACUGGUUAUAUGACAGAUCCAGAAUAUGUAGCUUAACAAGAUUCCCAAACUCCAGAGGAAUGGAUCCUGUCAGCUUAUUCAUGGAAAUACUAAGAGAGGUAAGCUCACUACAAUUUCUCAAGCUCUGUGGAAGCGGUCCACUGAUGUUAUUUCUGCUCAUGUCAAACCAUGCAAGGCUCGAGUUUUCUGCAAACUCCGGAAGAGUACCCGAGAGCUGAUUCUCACUUAUCCUCACUCUCCAGAGAGUUGUGCAACUCCCUACAUCAGAAGGGACGUUGCCCCGAAGCUGAUUCUUAGCCAUAUUGAGUACUCUAAGCUGCUUCCCGAAGCAAAGAUUCGGGGGAAUUUGACCAGUGAACCGAUUGUUGGUAAAGUCCAGCUGCAUCAGGCUACUGUUGAUCCCCAAAGUCUGUGGAAUUUGACCGAAGAACUGAUUUUCAAAAAGAGACAGGUUCUUCAGUUGCUUCAGCUCAGUCAUCUCCACAGGUAAUUCGCCAGUGAGACGGUUUUCAUACACCAGGAGAUACUCCAGGGUUGGAAUCUUCCACACACUGAUAGGGAUUUCACCACUGAGACUGUUAUUAAACAAUUCCAAGUCCUGCAACUCAGUUAACAGCCCAAUUUCAGCAGGUAUCUCACCUUCAAGCUUGUUGGAGUACAACCUUAAACCGGUCAAGGACUUGCAGUUCCCUAAUUCAGGAGGAAUUCUUCCAUACAGCUGGUUUUCAGAAAGAUCAAGAGAGGACAAGUUGUCUAAAAGCCCCAAUGAAGAAGGAAUUCCUCCAGUCAAAUUACUAUGGAUGAUGGCUAGAGUGUUCAAACUACUGCAGUUCCCUAAAUCCGGUGGUAUCCCACCACUAAAAAAGUUGAAAGACAAAUCCAGAAUGCUUAAAUUCUUGCAAUUUCCAAAACCUGAAGGAAUUAUACCUUCCAAACUAUUAUGACCAGCGUAGAAAUAGACAAGCUCUCCAAGAUCAGUCAAACUCCUGGGCAAAACACCAACCAGCUGGUUAUCAUUCAAGUAGAGAGCCUGCAAUUUGCUACAUUUCCCAAUAGAAUCAGGAAUCGAACCAGAGAAUUCAUUCCCAUACAACCACAGCUCCACAAUCUCAUUCAACUCACCAACACUCCCAGGAAUGGAACCAUUGAAACUGUUCUCAUGCAAAUAAGCAUAUUGCAGAAGAGGCAAAUUCCGAAACAAAGAGUCAGGGAUUUCACCAACCAGCGAGUUGGAGUACAAGCUCAAGAACUGUAGCCGUUUCAGCUCCUGGAAGCUUCCAGGAACGGCGCCGGUGAACCCAUUGUUGGAUAAAUCCAAAAGCUCGAGGUGUCUGCAGUUGCUACCGAGAAGGGAAGGGAUUCCGCCGGAUAAAUUGUUGGAGCUCAAAUCGAGCGACUUCAAAUGAGAUAACCCACCAAUUUGAGGACCCAACGGUCCAGAAAUUCCGUAACCGGAGAGGUUCAGUGAAACCACACGGAAGGUAAUGUUGUCGCAUUGGACGCCGACCCAUGAGCAAGGAGUCGGGUCUGAAGCGUUGUUGUUGUUCCAAGUUAGAGGAGAGGCGGAGGUCCAGCGUCCUGACAAGGAUAGAAGAGCCAACCCAUCAUAGCUAGUGAACCCGGAAACGAUGUUAAGAGAAGGAAGGCAGCAAGAACAGAGCAGGAGGAGGAAGAAGAAGGAAGAAGCGGGAGGAAGAUUCAUUGUGGAUGUUUGACGGUGUGUACAGACUGAGAGUGAGGAUGUCGAGUGGGGGAGAAAUGGCAGAACGGUGGUGGUAUAGGAUGUGGGGAAACAGGCAGUACAGCACUCAGCAGAGACAUAAAUGCGGCAGUGGUGGUGGUUGCACUUUGCAGGCAGCCGACUCGGUUUCUUCUGGUGAUGGUAGCAUUUUUAGGUGUGAAACGUUGAAUAGUUUCUUAUUCCGCUGGGCUUCUUGUGAGGUCAGUGCGCCUUUGACUUGUGCUUUUCCCAUUCGGGUUUAAAUUUUUUUAUACAUUAAUUACAUCUUGUCUUCAUUAAGUAUUAUAUAUACUAUAAAUGUUAUAGUUUGCUAAAUUAAUGUCACCACUCAGAGCAAAUAUAUUUUUAACUUUUUAACAAUUAUUAAGUCAGGUGAAGGUGAAGGAUAACAAGGCAUUUCACUUAAUAAUUAUUAAGGAUGAGGAUGGUAAGAAUAUUUUUUAAUUAACAAUUUUAUUAGAAAUGUUAUAUAAAAUUAUAGAUCAAUUUCUUAAGAAAAAAUAAUUAUGUUAGUCAUGCCACAUAAGGUCAUUGGAACAUUUUUCUAAAAUGAUCACUUGUUAAGAAGUUGUUAAAGUAUUUUGACGAUGUAAAUGAUUAGAAAUUUUUAAGAUAAGUUGAUUGCUAAAAUUGAUGAUGUGGUAGUUUAGAAAUUGUUAAAUAAUUUAUGGGAUGGAAAUUAUCUCACUUGGUUAGUCUCGUGAGUUUUUUUGUUGAGGAGAACAUGCUCUUAUAAGAAAAAAAAAUACAAUAUAGAUAUUGAUAUGUAUAAUGUAACUGGAAUUGAUUUUUUCGAUACCCUAAUAUACUAUUUCGGCCAGAUGGAUAUAAAAGAAAAUAAAGUUCACAUGAUUAUGUGCCCUCACUUGUUUUUUCUUUCGUUGAACUUGCUCAUAAGAUUAAAAAUGAUUCACAUUGUUAAAAAAAAUUGUACAACAUUCCGGGGCGUCACUCUCAAACAAGUGACGGAAGAUAGUGAGAGUGACGAACAAACAUAUAUGUAACGUCAUUCCUAUUUAUCUUAGGUCAAGAUAUAGUGUAAUUGUCAAUAAUCGUUACAUUCCAACAAUUCACAUUAUUAAGAGAGAAUUCUAAUUAAUAUUUAUAUUAUUCACUAUGAAUAGCUCAAAGAGAAAACAAACAAACGUAUAGAAAUUGAGAGAUUAAAAAUGUUAUAAAAAAGACAAAUUUAGUUAUAUUAAUAAAUUACCUGAGAAUAUUAUAACAGUGGUGGGGUUAGCUAAAGGUCGUUAUCUGGGAGAUUAACAAGUUAAGUUAAACUACCUUUUAGCCUUAAAUAGUUGUGGGUGGGUGUUCCACUUUGAUUUUGACAUUCUUAAAUGCAUAGUAAAGUCAACAUAUUGUUGUUUUUGGGGAAGUAUUGAUGCACCAACGAACACUUCAAUGCCGCAAGUCUUCAGAAAUGACAAGUGGGGAACUUCGCUUAAACAACAAUCGCUCUCUUUUAAUUUGACAAAUGGAUCGUGAGUGAAAAAAUACCUAGUUUUGCAUCCCAUAUGUUUUAGGAGUUUGCGAUGCUGUUUAUCCGUUAGUUGAUUUAUAGUGUGGAUUUGUUCAUUCGUCAAUGAUGUAGAAAAUUUAAAACUAUAUUUUGCAAGUCCAAGCCUUAGAUAAUCCUAUUUAAUACGGAUUUUAGGUACCGUUAUUUAACUUCAUUUGGUCAUUAUUUACAAGGAUUAUCAUAGUGAAACUUGAUUUUUUAGCUAUUUCUAAUAUAUAGGUAAAAAAUAAGUAUAUUUAAUUUUUUUUAAUUUUNNNNNNNNNNNNNNNNNNNNNNNNNNNNNNNNNNNNNNNNNNNNNNUUUCCAUGAGUUAUAAGACAUGGAAGUUAACAAUUUUCACAUAAAAUUUUUCAAAUUAACUAAUAUUUGACAUGUAAGUUAAGAAUGGUUAAAAUCCAAAUUUUACUAUAUUAACCUUCCAAAUAAUACUUGUUAUUAUACUUAAGUACAUAUGGGAAAUAAAAAUAUAUAUAUAGCUACUUGGAAUGAAGUGUCUUGUCAAAUUUUAGGUUUAGUAUUUUGUUGUUUCAUCUAAAUACUCGAUAUAUAUUAAUUAUAAUUUCGAUUUAAUAUUUACAUUUACUAUUAUUUAGUUAGGGAAAAAAUCAUUAAUCACACAUUUAAUCUUUAAGAAUAACUUAGGUUGCUCUUAAAAAAAGAUAAUUUAAUUACUCAAUAUAUAUAAAUUUUUAGUUUAAAUCCAACUCAAUUUAUAUUUUGAUCUUAGAUCCACUAUAUUGGUGGAGCUCUAGCAUUGGCGUAUGUUCCUUCAAGUGAUUAGCUAGGAAACCUAGCUAUGAAGGAAGGCAUUAAUUCGAGUUAUCGUGUCAUAUUAGUACAUCAAAUGUAGAGCCUUGCCCUGCAUGCAGAAGGAGGUGCAGAAAUUAGACACUUGUCGACGGUCAACAUUUAUGAACGUCGUUGAGCAAACCAAGAGCACUGCCGGCAUCAGAUUCAGACAACAUUAAAUUCCUCGAUAAACAUCACAGCAUCCAUCAUCCAUCCCUCUCUAUUUAAACCCUUAAUUGGAUUGAUUCCUCUGGAUAUCUACAAGAAAAAAAAAAACACACCUCUUUCUUUUUUCAAUCAAUGAAGACGACGGCAGCAGCGCCGGUGCCCUGGCGGUGGUGGACGACGGUAGCGCUACUCAUCUUGUUGUUCUUGGCAACUCCUGCAUCUCCGACCUGCCAUCCCUCUCCGGCGCCGCCGUGCAGAAAUCGACGUCCGACAUGCCGGAACCCCCCUGCCACCGGUGGCAGAGGAUGUAAGCAGUGCGUGGUGGAGCAGCUGCAUUACGGGUGCCCGAAAUGCACUCCGAUACUCCGGUGCAUGGCGCGGUGCUUGUGGGGCGGCGGGGUUCAGUCGAAGUGCAGCCAGCGGUGCGAUUGCGGCGGAGGGAAGCCGUCCCUUACGGAGUGCAAGGCUUGCAUGGGUAGGUGCAAGUGUAGCUGUGUCUCUUCUUCAUCUUAGAAGAUUGCCAACCCUAAUUAGUAGCUUAAUGUUUUUUCAAAAAGUAGAGAGUUGGUGCUAGUGUAAUGGAAUAGUUAUGCUGAUAUUGUUCUGUGUUGAGUUACUAUUAGAGCUGACGAUGAAGUAAGCCGUUCUGCUUGGUGUUCGGCUCGGAAAAAACUUGUUCGUGACUCGCUUCGAUUUUAAACUAGUCAAAACUUGAAUAGGAUAUGCUUGACUCAAUAGGCUUGCAAGUUGGGUUGAACUAAAGUUUGAGAGGCAACUCAAAUACUGACUCAAUAAUAUGACUUGUUAGUAGACUCAAUAAUAUGGCUUGUUAAUAGACUCAAUAAUAUAAUAAAUGCAAAUAUUAUAUAUAGUACCAAAAAAUAUAUAGAAAUUUAUAAAGUAUAGAAUAGCUUGUUUAUUAGCUUUAUUUGUUGACGUUGUUUUAGCGUAUAAACCUCAAAUUCAACUCAAAUUAGACUCUUAUCGUGAGUUUUAAUGAGUCAAGUUUGAGUUGAGUUCUCGUUUGAUUUGUAAAUGAUAGUUAACGAGUCAGAGUCGAAUAGGCUUCAACUUGUCAUCGAUCAAAAUUUUCUAACUUGAGUUCGAGCUCGAUUAAAAGUUAACUAGCCAAACUUAAACAUGGUAAAAUUCGGCCCGACUCGAUAUAUUUUCGCAAUUACAAGGGAGCAGAUUGAAACUCCCCAUUACAACUAACCCCAAUUUUCACCCCCAAGUAAACGAAAUUUACAGUAAGAUAGUAUUACAUACAGUAAAAAGAAAAAACACACACACAAGGGCAAAGACUUACCUAGUGGUGACCAAAGCAAACAUCGUCGUGAUUCAAUGGCUUCCCCUCUGCUUCACCUGUAACGUUAUGCAGCAACCUACAAGAUUGCUCCUUUAUCAACUUAGCCGUCGUAGGAUAAUGCCACGGCACGAAGGAGAACUGGUCACUGUAUUGCUCCACUCCUUCGACCAGCAGCUGCCAUAUUAAGGCCCCUCCGCCUGCUUCUUUCUUCUUAGCAGACUCGUAAAUCUUGUCGUAAACAAUCUUCAACAACACGUCUCUGUCAUUUCCUCCCUCCUUCUCGACCGAGCCUACCUCAGUGAAGAGAACCGGUUUCUUCAGCAGGCUGUCUCCGUCGCUAAUGUGGGAAUCCACCCAUCGCGAUAGGUACUUCGCCUUCGUUUCUAGGUCGGCGUUCUGCAUCCUGCAGUGUUCAAAUUUGCAUCAUCUGUCAACAGUAAGAAAGUAGUAAGCUUUGUUAAUGCAUGGUAACUGAUAACAGACCAGCUAUCUGGGUAGGAAUGUACUGAUGCGAAAUCAAUAUCGCGAACAGCUGAGUUCUCUAUGAAAUCCGAUCCGAGAGAUGCUGCCCAUUCCCCAGGGUUUACUUCUGACUUGUUCGCUGCUUUCAGGCCGUAGAAUCCCUCAAGACCAACGGUCACUAGAUGCCUUCUGUCCAAGCUUUUUAGGUAUGAGGUCAUCUCGCUGAUCCACGCCUUUUUCGAACCGAUAAAACAUGGUUAAUAAGGGCCAGGACUGCCAAAUAUCUAAACCUGUUAUGUUAUGGCACAGGAAAACUGCUUUAGCUAAUCACUAUUAAUAUCCAACUCUUGCUUAACAGAAGACAUUCACCUGAAGAACAGGGGCACAAGUCCUCGAUGCACAUCUAGGCUCAUUCAUGAGCUCCCAAGCAAAUAUAGCUGGUUCAUCGGAAUACUUCACUCUGCUUAAAGAGUUCUUCCGCGUCACAAUUUUCUGCAAAAAGCAUAGGAACUCAGUCUGUAGUCUCCAGGACGAGAAGCUAACUUAUGACUUAUUCGACAACUCUUCAACCCUCAAUCCAGAAAUAACUGUUCAAGAAGUGUUUGAUACACCGUAAUAAGAUUCAAGACCAUAAACACUAUAGUAAACAUAAACAUUAGCUUCUCCAUUCUCAUUGAUGCCACUGAAAAGACCAUAACCAAAAGCAACUAACCUUGAUGUAGGCUUUGUAGUAGUCUCUAAUAGCUGGAUUGGCAAAGAAGGAAUCGUCAGAUGAAGAGACAUUGAUCCCUGCUUGUUGCCCCCAUUUCACAUACUGAUCUUUUCCACCAAAGGCAUCCAGAUUGUUCACUAGACUCAGUAUCAGCCUGAUCCCAUGCCUCCUUGCCUCUACUAUCACAUAGUCCAACCCCUUGAGUAAAAAAUUAAGUCAACUUUAAUAGUCCAAAACUAUAGCAACUAAACUGUAGAGAAUCAGAUAAUGGCCAUUGUUGAUGCCAAUUGCAGAUCUUUCAAUCAGAAGAAAUUCAAUCUGAUGCGUGAACUGGAGACAAACCUUGAAGACUCUUUCGUUAAAGACGCCAGGGGCAAUCUGAAGAGCGUCGGGACCGUCACCAUCGCUGAAAGCCCAAGUCCUGCAAACGGUCAAUCCCAAUUCAGCGCCGGCUUUAAGCACCUUGGAGACUCUGGGACGCGACGAGCUCCAUAUGCUUUCCUGCAGCAACCAAUAUGAGUUCCACCCAUUCACGUAGAAGUAGGGAGGCGUCGAUUCCAGAUCCCGGCUUCCGUCUCCGUCGACGAUGACGAAGUGGAUGGUGUCGGUGGCGACGAAGCCCAUCUUAGGCUGCCACACUACCGAAGGAAAUGCGAGAUCGUCGCUGAAGAAGCUGACGUAUAGGAGAAAGAGAAGAAUGAGGCCGCCAACGAGUGGGUAAAGCCUCCUCUCUCUCCAUCCCCGGAGGUCCAUUCUUUUUCGCCGUUUGUCGGCUGAAAUCAACGGCGGAAUUCCACUGCCGUCGGUUGCUAGAGGUCAACUACUUUCCUUUCGCUCCUUUCUUUCUACCUCUCAUUUUCCUAACGAGUUUGGCUUAAUAUCCGUUUUGGUCAUUAACUAUUAGCCUUGCAACCCUUUGGUAACUACCCUAUUAAAUAUAAUAACGUAAAUGUCACUAAUCUAUCUACACUUUCCUGUCUCUUCCUUCAGUCCUACUCUUCGAUUUUAAGAAUACUCUUAGAAUGAGUAAUUGUCCUUUUCUAAAAACGGAAAGCUAACAAGGUUCUAUAGUCGGUCGAUGAUCCUUAAAUGUCGAAGACAUCCUUAGAAUAAUCUCGUAGUUCAUACAUGGUGGGAGACGAUAGGGUUGGUCCAGAAAUUGUCUUUCUAGUGGUCAUUCUAUCACAUUUUCAUUAGAAUGAUGACCAUAUCUGCCACUGACUUUGGUGGCAGAUGGGACAAUAGUAGUACUAAACGUGGUCAAGGUUUGAGAUGCUAAACCAAAUGAAAAGAACAAAGGGAUAAACAUGUGUUAGUAAAAAAAAAACUCAUUUAUUAACCGAAUUGUUAAUUGUGUUACAUCAUCACUGUCACAAGAAUUUGAUCGCAGAAAUCAAACAACGAACUCAACUACUAAAACCAGAGAGUUUGAGACAAAUCCCACCCAGCUACUAGUCAGGAACCAAUCCAAGAAAUUGAUCCAAAAUUCAAACCCAAUCAAUCAUCUACUCAAGCCAAUAGCAGAGACUUGGCCGGAAAAACCAGAGCAACGGAGCCCUUCAACGAGCUGGAAUACUUCCUCACCACACUCUGCAGCUUACUCUCCUUCACUUUCAACUGCAACCCAGCCAAAGCCCUACCACACUCCACAACCUCCGCCUCCUUAUACCCAGUAUAAAACUCCAUCACCCCAUUCCACGCCGGCGACUUCAUCAGAGCCAGCCUCGCCGCGUAAACCGCCGCCGCCGCCAUCAUCGACGGGCGGAACUUCACCGAGCAUUCAUAAUCCAUCAACCCCAGCUCCGUCAGGAAAUUCGCCAUGUGCUCCAUCUCCUUAUCCGCCGGACCCGAACCCGUGGCUGCUUUGACGAAUCGGACCAGGAAGACGUACUGGGUCGGGACGGUCAGAGUCCAUUCCAGAUUGGCUAGGAUGGUCUUCUCCAUGACGAGAAUCUGUUGACUGCUGUAUGCUCUGUCGGAGAUCAGAACCAAUUCGUUGACCUCCGGUGGCCAGAUCUCUUCGUAUUUGGAUGCCAUGAGUGUGGCGCUGAUCCCCACUAGCUGGAGCUCCUUCCUCGGGACGGCACUCUUCACUGAGAGGAAACGGUCGAUUAUGUUGAUGGUUAGGUAGAGCGUUUCAUAGGAGAGCUCGAAUUUCUGGUGGACGUCGAUUAGCCAGUCGACGAGGAUUGCUCUCAUCCUGCUGUUCAUCUCUGGCUGCUUCUCCAUAUAGCAGAUUGGCCGGCUCUCAUUCUGUCACCCAAUUCAAUUCAAUCCAAUUAAAAAAAAUAGGGUGAAAAACAAGAAUUGGGGGAAACAAUAGGGUUUCGUAGUCGAACCUCAGCGAGCUUGUAGAAAUUGUAGAGUUCUUCGACAUAUUCGGUGACGGCCAGAUGGUUGUUGGCAUCUGGUGCAUCGAUGUUGAAGAUUUCCUCCUGCCUGGACUUGAUUGAAGCUGACUGGAAAAUCGGCGACGGAGAAAAUUGUUAGAACAGAGGAGAAAAGAAAAGGGUUUUCUAACGGAAAUUGAAAUAAAAUCGAACCGACCUUGCUUGCUGUUGUGAGGGUGGAAGUAAGAGUCGGGAGUUUCUUCUUCUUCUUCAUCGAUCGUUCUUGGCACUUCUUGUUAGUCUUGGUAGCUUCUUCGGAAUCUGGGCUGAUGACGAUUACUUCCUCCGGCACCGCCGGCUUAGGCUUCGGUUUGCUUACAGCCGUAGGUUUCUUCUGCGCUUCCUUAGUUGGUGGUACAGGAGCCGCCGCCUUCUUCACGGCGGCCGGCGCACAGAUUUGCUUCUGGUGAAUUCAAAAAAAUAAAUCAAACAUAAACCAACCAGAUUCAGAAGAUUUCUCUGGGGUGAAGAAAAGAUCCGAACCUUGUGGUUGUCAGCUGCGGCGGCGGCUUGGGCGUUGGCCAAGAGCUGUGCGCGGAAACUCCUAGUGACAGGACGAGCGAUCUGUUGCUGAGGCUUUCCUAGGAUUUCAGGAACAACGGCAGAGGCGACAUUCCCGAUGUCGCCGAGGGCUCUGCGACUCUUCUUUUCUGCGCCGCCCCCGCCUGCCGCCAUGGUUUUCUUCUGCUCUACCAACCCCCCACCUGCAGCCGAAAUCAAAAGAUGGUAUCUUCAGCGAGUAUCAAUAAUCGGAUCGAGAGAAACAGAGAGCGAUUGAAGAAGAGGAAAGGGGAAAUCGAUGGAUUGAAUGGAUCAUACCUCUGACUUGCUGCGGAACGACGGGUCUGGUGGACGCCAUUGUAUUUUUUUCAAUCUCUCUGGUUUCUUCUUCUUUUCCCUUCUUGCUUUGUUGAAUCGCAGAGUGCGAGAAAGUGAGACAGGAGAGAAUUGAGGGGAGAAAUGGCUGCUUCAUCGUCUUAUGAACUUUUUUUGAAGGCCUCCAGGCUCCAACGGUCGAAUUUUCUUUGGUUUACGAUCGUUGGAUCUGUUUUUGUAUCCGACGGUCUGGAUGGCGUAUAGAUUUUAUAGCUGUUAGAGACAGAGAGGUGAAAUUCCCAAAGAGGAAUAUAAAUUAAUAAAUAAAAUAAAAAGUGAAAGGGGAGCGGGGCUGGAGCUUUGGGCUUCGGUGGGCUUAUUUCGUCGAUGCCACAAAAAGAGUAAAGACAGAAGCCCAGUCAGUAUGAGACGGGCCCUUAAUUUUUAAGCCAUUCUCUUGAUUUUCGUUCUCAGUCAGUACGAGAUGGAAUUGGGCUUUGGUGGGCUUAUUCCGUCGAGCUUGUAAGCGUUCAUGGAGGUUUAUGUUUUUCGUUGUUGCGAAUUGUGUUGCGGAUUAUCUCGUAAUUUUAAGACAUUUUUUUAUUUCAGUUCUCAUAUUUUCCGUAGCAUGCAACAAAUUAUCAAGUAGUCCAACUAGUAAUUAACAUAGUUCAUAAGACCAAGUGUACAUUAUGAAAACAGAGUACUCUCACAUGAAACAUAUGUGUAGUAUGCACACUCACUUCACAUCAACACAGUACAUAUGAUAUAACUCAUUAUCAAGGACCCAUAACUUGUUGCAGAAAUUGCAUUUAUUUAGGGAGGGGACAUAAGCUAGGUAGAGCCAUGGAGAAGGAGGUUGGUGCCACAUUGGAGUUGCUAUCUUGCUUUUCCAUGACUUAAUUUGGUGGUGGGUAAUAUGACGCGGGUGGUUCGGGCUUGUAGGGUGGCUUAGGUAUGUGAGGAGGCUUUUCAACCGGUGACUUGGGCUUGUAGGGUGGUUUUGGUACGUGAGGAGGCUCUUCGAUCGGUGGCUUGGGUUUGUAGGGUGGUUUGGGCACUUGGGGAGGUUUCUCAAUCGGUGGAUUGGGCUUGUAGGGUGGCUUGGACAUGUGAGGAGGCUUCUCAACUGGUGGCUUGGGCACUUGGGGAGGCUUUUUAACCGGAGGUUUAGGUUUUUCUGGAGGUUUUUCAAUCGGUGGUUUGGGUUUGUAGGGUGGCUUCGGUAUUUGAGGAGGCUUCUCAACUGGUGGCUUUGGUUUGUUGGGAGGUUUCUCAACUGGUGGUUUGGGUUUGUACGGUGGUUUGGGCAUUUGGGGAGGUUCUUCAACCGGUGGUUUAGGCUUGUACGGAGGUUUCUCAGCCGGUGGUUUGGGCUUGUGGGGUGACUUCUCAACCGGUGGCUUGGACUUGUAGGGUGGUUUGGGUACUUGGGGAGGUUUCUCAACCGGUGGCUUGGGCUUGUACGGAGGCUUUUCAACAGGUGGUUUGGGUUUGUAAGAGGUUUAGGUUUUUCUGGAGGUUUUUCAAUCGGUGGGUUGGGUUUGUAGGGUGGCUUCGGUAUUUGAGGAGGCUUCUCAACUGGUGGCUUUUUGGGUUUGUGGGGAGGCUUCUCAACCGGUGGUUUAGGUUUGUACGGUGGCUUUGGCACAUGAGGAGGCUUCUCAACUGGUGGUUUAGGUUUAUAGGGUGGCUUGGGCACUUUAGGAGGCUUCUCAACUGGUGGCUUCGGCUUGUUGGGUGGUUUCUCAACCGGUGGCUUAGGCUUGGAGGGUGGUUUGGGCACAUGAGGAGGUUUCUCAACCGGUGGCUUCGGUGGGUAAGGAGGUUUGUUGGGCGAUGGUGGAUUAUAAGGAGGGUAAGAGCAAUCCGGGCAAGCGAGAGAAGGAACUAGCCAGACUCCCAAGUGGAGAACCAAGUACACUAAGAAGCUAGCUUGCACAAUGUAUUGGUUGGCCAUUGUUAGCGUGCUUAAUUGGUUUGAUAGUUGAAACCAAGCUUUGCUAUAUAUAAUACACGAACGGGGUGAGGAAGAGCAAUUGAUAUUGGGGUGUGAUGUAGAUUUUCUUGUUGCCUUAGAAGUUCAUUGUAGUGAUUUGUCACUUUUCAUUACAAGUACCAAGUGCCAAAUUUUCAAAAAGUAUUUUUCCCUCGUACACAAUAACUAAAUUAAAAUAGUCGGAAAUUUUCCGUCAACAAUUUUAUAUCAUAUCAAGAAUUAGUUCAUUUUAAUCAUUCGAAUUGAUGGUAAAUGGUUCAAAAUAAAUCUUACGUCAACUUUUCAGUCUCAUCUACUGAAUUGGAUAAAAAAUGAGACAUCUAGUUAAUAAUCUCUUCCGAAUUAAAACGAUAUAUCCAACUAAUUUCCCUAACAAAAUCCUUUUGUAUAUAGUUUAUAGGCAUUGUAUCAAAUAGUUUACCUUUGAAAGGUAAGUAUUUUUCACAGCACUCAACCUUUGGAAGUUAAUGGAAGCACGUAUAGCCCAAUACGAGAAGCUAAGUGGAGAGAUUCAUCGUACCAAUUUACUACAAAAUGGUUCCUUCACGUGUUUGCCAACGUAUUUAAUUUCUCGUUUACUGCAUUUAAGUUGAACUUUAUUUUAUGUGCCAACUUCCAUGUACCAUAAACAUUUGGUAUGUCCCAUCAAGCACACACUCCAUGUCGAACAUAUCGAUCAAGUUUUCUAUGGUGUAAUACUAUAGCUCAAACGUAAGAGAUCUCCUCGUUGUGCUUUCUAUCGACAACUAAACGUUCACCGUACGAUAACACUAAUCGCCUGUCGGUAUAAAUUUGAUUUCUCAAUCAAGGAGUUUUGAAUAUAAAUUCAUCGUCUUUCACCAUCACUUUCAACCUAUAUACAGUGUAUUUUGAACUAUAAGCCACCAAAUUUUUAGAUAUAAAGGUGUGAAUUGAUCAGAUUUCCACCAUGUAGAUAGUAGAAUGAUUCACAAAGUUGUAUUGAUUAACUUGUGAAUGACACUAAACCUCUAUAUUCAGCUACAAACGCGCUGUCUCCACGUAGAUUAGUAAGAGAUAACCCACACAAAACGAACUUCCAUGAAUCACCUGCGUAUACGAGAUUAUUGGUAAAAUUGAAGUGAUAGUGACAGUGACAGUAACAGCGAAAGUCCUGGGGCAGGAGGAAGAGCUGUUAGCUACUGGGAUUUCGACAAAACUGAAGCAAGUGGCUUAGUAGAUAACUUGUUGCUGGCUGUACAUUGUGUCACUUGAGGUACAAGAUGUCCUCUUUCGGUAUGUGCAUCUUUCCUUUAUCUCGUCUACUAUUUACUUGUGAUCGCUCCGGUUGGCCUCGCUGAUGAAUCAUGAAACGCACAAUGUCCAAGAGUUUUAAUCUUAGUGAAAUAAAUCUCUUUCGCAAAGUCAUCGUUGACUGACAGUUUCUCGGAAAUGAGAAUCGAGCAAAAACUGAACAGGGACCGGUAGUUCCUACCUUUCUAAGGACGAAGGCGAGGUACAAGUAUGAUACUUCCCAUUCAUCUGGUGUUAGGGUGCCUGCACCAUGAAAGAAACAUCGGAAUUACGAAGCACGGGGAAAUAAUACCAGAAACUGAAGAUGAGUAGUAGAAGAGGAAGCUUACUCUGGUCAUGGACAUCCCCUAAUGCACCAAGUCUACGCAUUAGCUCAACGUAUUCUGGUUUCUUUAAAUACUCGUGAACGAAUUCAUGUGCAUUCUUCACAAACACUAGCUCUAGAGCAUACUGCAAAAGUCGGACACAAGAACAUUGUGCAGGUUUUCAAGUGAUGGGUAGAAAUAAUACAUCCUUCAAAAUCGAUUAUAACUUUAUAAGUUGGUUCGAUUAAGUGGAAAAAACGAAGUUAUACCUCUUCAGCCAGUGCUUUGAAGACAUUAAAGGGCACAAUCCAUUCAGGACAAUCUACGGCGUCCUGUCAAACAGAAAGCACAUCCCAAAUUAGUCCAAGAGAAGAAAAUAAAGAUGUGGUCUUUAGAGUUUGUCUCCAGAUGCAAAUCAAGAUAUAUCAUUAUAUAAGGAUACUAGUAGAGGAACAAUUCAACAUCACAUCUCCACAUGAAAGAACGGAUUGGGUUAUAUUAAUUUAUUCAAAUUAUCCUACACAGACUAACAUCAGGUGACAGAGAUGAAAUAUAAUACCUCUAGGUGGAACAAGUACUUGAUGCCAAAAGGUGAAGAGGAGCUAAACUUCUGAAUCACAAGGAUUAAAGCUGUUACUCUCACGAACGUAGCAUUUCAAGUCCAAGGAGGUUCAGAGUAAUAUAACACUUAACCUUUUCGGAAUAGUCUUCAUCAAAACGAAUCCAGUAGACACUAUUGCCAAACGAAAGUCCAUCAGCUGCAAUAUGACAUGAACACCAGAUUUUUCAAUUAAAAGUUACAUUUUUCUCUGAGAGUCGAGUAUAGUACAUCCGCAGCAUUCAAAUGAAGUAACAUGGAUAGGCUUAAAAGGUCGAGCCUUUUCCUAUCAGGUACCCAAAUAUUCUGCAUCAGUUCAUGGAUUGUUUAGAAAACAACUAAAGGAAAACAGCACCCACAUUCUCUAAGUUUCUUGACGAUAACAUUGGCAUCUGGCAUCGUUCCGAUUAAAGUACCCCCAGGACGUAGUAGGGCUGAGAUAUUGGCCAAGGCUCUCCGUGCACGUAUCUCAGUAGACCAUGAAUAAUGUAGGGCAAACUGCAUUGAUAUAAAUUCAUGAUAAUACAACUGGAAUAUCACACACCUGUAGUACCAUCACACAAUGACUCAAUUUGACUGGUAAUUAGCAGAGAAAGAAGUUGGCAAACGAAGGCGUAAAUCCCAAGGAUAUUCUAUAUAUAUGCUUCCCGAUCACAAGGAUUUUCUACUUAUGAAGAACAUCUACUGAGCUCAAGAUUAUUAAAAAUCCAAAAAGGGUGCAUCUCUUGGCAAAAAAGACAUGACAGUUGGACCAAAACUAAAUUCACUGCAUAAAGAUCUACAAACUGUAACUAGUAGUUGGCCUUAGCAAAAUCAUCCAUCAGCUAAUUGACAGUAAGAUCUCCUGAUUUACCUGACAACUGCAGACAUCAAAAGGAGCGUCAUCAGCGAGGGCUUUGUCCAAACGAAUCUGAAGUAACAAUUCAGAAUGAGCAUAUCAGAUGUGUCGUGAAUUUUCAUAAGGUGCUGAUAAGUCAUUGAACAAUCUUCAGCUUAGAUAAUCAUGUAACACGGUAGUACAGCAAGUUAAUGUUUCUAUUUAAAGCAAUGCUUGACAAAUAUUUAUCAGGCUGCAAUUACCUCAUAGCAGUCUCCACAUAUAAGACGAGCUGGAAAUGAGAACUUUUUACGAUUCUGAUGAUGAUUAGCAUCACCAUUGUAACGGGUGCGACAAUCUUCUAUCUUUCAUGACAUGUAAUUGCAAAAGCAAUAAGAUAGUUUGCAACACAGAAAUAACAUCAGGAACUAUAAAUUUUGAGGUACGCACUUCAAAUACACAAGAGAAUAAGACACCUUCAACAUUAGGGCCAGUACAAAAGUUCAGAAUUUAUGGUUCAAGUAUUGGAAGAUUAAUUCAGAGAACGUAUUUACCGAGCCUUCAGCGAUGUCAACACCAACAUAAUAUCCCACUUUGGCUUUAUCCCACUUAAUGAGAUCACCACCCUGGAAAACAAAAACUACUGUUAAUCAAUCGUCACUCGUCAAGCUUAAACUUGGCAGCACCAAAGAGAACUGGGCUUACCUUGCCACAAGCAAGAUCAAGAACAGCAUCCCCUCUACGUGCAUACAGUUGAAUUAAGACACUCUUAAUCUGUUAAUGAAGAUUUGACCGUUAUUCCAUCUCCAGCAUGCUGCCGAGAUCAUCAAAAGCCUAUGUUUGUGACAGAGAGUAAAUCAACAUACCCAGUUAUUGAGUUUUUUUAAAUGGAUAAUUGGACUCGCUUCUCGCUCUUCAAGAGUCUGGUUCGUCCUUGCACUGUAGUGGUCCGCCACUUUCUGAACAAAAUCCUCAGAGAAGUGGGCAUCACCUAGACACACAAAUAAUAAAAAUCCAACCUUUCAUUCCUCAAAAAAACAAUGUCUGAACUUUCAGCUGGUUUCCCAAAGCAGGAAAGCAGCCAAAACCAGGCAUUCAAUCAGCAGACAUUGGACAAGUAAAUCAACAACAAAGGGAUUGAAUGGGAUCAAUGAAUAUAACAAGACCACGCAGUUCAAAUCUCCAGUGUGGUUCUAUUCCGAGGAAAAUUAGUCAAAACGGAAUCCAAAGUUGGAACCUUUACUACUCCACCUAAAUAGAAAUAUAACUCCCCCAAAGAAAAACCCCAUGGAUGAAAAGUCAGCAAAGUAUCAGUAGCAGUUUCCACUUAAAAGUGAUAAACCAAGCAUCCAAAGUAUAGCUAUCUGUAUAUACAGAAGAAUGGGUUUCCAAGCAAACCUUGGGGAGUGUAUUUCAAUCUGGAUUUAGGAGGAGCAGCAGAGUUGGAAGGAGAGUCUGUGUAUCCACGUUUCAUGGCUAAUUCACCCAAAUUAGAGAAGCAAAAAUACGCCCUAAUAAAAAAAGAAGUGGGAUUUGGGCGGUGGGAGUUGAAGAUGAGAAGAGAUAUUGUGCUGCACUACUGUUCUGUUCUGAAAAACAAAUAAGCAGAAUGGGGAAUAGGAUUCGACGAAAGCUUUGAGCUGAAGGGGUUGAUGGAAUUUUGAGUUGCAGGCUAGUGGGAAAGGGAUGAAAAGAGGUGAAGAGUGCGGUGUGACUCGAGAGUGAGUCGUAUGAGACUGCAAAAAGGUGAAUGCGACACUCUGUGGCGGCACUUCCCUCCACCUUUGUGAUUUCCGUUUACCACAGUCUUCACUUUGAUCUAUGAAUUUAGAUUGCAGGACAAAAUUCACACUUUACCUCAGCCCAAUGGACUUUGUUGCCGGCCGGCCCACCACCGACCAGCUCUGUCGCCCAUGUUGCUUCGUCCACGACCAGAUUUUGUCACGGUGUAUGUACUCACUCGUGUACACGAACGUGUACAUAGGCAUGUUACACAAGUACGAAGAACGUGUAUAAUGUUACAAAACGAGUAUACAAGGUUUCAAGAAUAUAGAUGGUCCGAUGCCUGGUGAAUUUUUUAAAAAAAAAUUUAAGCUUUGAUGGCCGAGAUUCACCAUUGGAUGAGUUUCCGAUCAUCGAUAUAUCUCAAAAGCUCUAGUCGGUGACGAUCGGAUUCUGGCGGACUAGAGGUGGUUGUUCCAUUUAAAAAAAUAACUAUCAUGUAACAGGAUUUAUUUACCCAUUUAAUCCAACUCUCAUUACUAGUGUGAGUUGAAUAUGUUGUUUAUAUGGUUGAAGUUGUUUCAUAUACUUACUAUCUGAACAAAUAAUUUGAUUUUUUCAUAAAUUCACAGCAAUAAUUUGAUUUGUUGAAUAAAGUGACAAAUCAACACAAACUAAUUGACCUAACACUGUACAGGAAAUGCUUGGAAGUUGGAACCAUGCCCAAGUCAGCUUCCAAAAUAACUUGAAACUCCAAUCUGACUUCAACUCUCAGCCCCCCUAUUACUCAGUUCACAUAGCGUGCAGGGGAUAGUCGAUGACGAAGGCCACGAAGCUCGAGAAGUCUAAAAAAUACAUGCACAGUCCAAGGCACCUGAAGGUUGUCACUGUACAGCUGGCAGCCUGAAGACGACAAAACCACCUGGUACUUGGUUAGACCUCUUUGAUGAACAAGUAUCUCAUGAACCGUGAUAUUCAAGCAGGACUCGGCUGGAAUAAUUUCCUCGCAAAAGGAACUCAGAGACGUACCCUCCUACAAAAUUUUAUCAGCUGUCGGUUGAGCAAUAAACUAUGUAGUUUGGCUGUUCUUACAAACUUACCAAGCUCAGAAGAGAUCCAAGGUCGUUCCAGUCGAACUAAGAUUGAAGCAUAAUUGCUUCCUUGAGAAGACAUCCAAGCAUCCAAGUCUCUGCAAAACCAUGCGACAAAUUGAACUUAAAGGAUCACCAAGUUGACAAAUAAUUAGAGAACAGCAAAAAGAAAUUACGCUCUUGCCUUUCUGUGAAGCUCUUUCACUAGCUAAUAGCUUGUACGUACCUGCUGCAUUGACAUAGAUACCAUCAGAUUUUAGACCGAACAGUUACCGGUGUUGCUCCACGAGAGCUUCAAAACGUUUGUGAAGAUCCUGGCCAUGAUUUCCAUGUGUCAAGUUCAGAAGUACACUGAGAAACAAGUAGAACCACAUAGGUAACAAAACUUAAAAACAGAAUCAGACAAGUCUUACAAUGGACAUCUUGCAUCAGACACAUCAUGCGUCUAGCAGGAAGCUUGCUAUCUGAAACCUCCUGGCUACCAUAACAAACGUUGAUGAAUCAUUAAUCAUGAAGAAAGCAUGGGAGGAUUGCCUAGGCUGUGAAAGUUACCCAGAAAUGUCGGAUGAAGUUUCAAGUCCCGAUUGGCUCCGAAUGACUAGAAAGCAAUCACGAUUUUAUAAUCUGAAAGUAUCUAAUUUUGUUCCUAAGUUUCCUAGCAUCUGCUUGAAAGCCAGCAUAUUGGAGACCAUCAAGAACAGCCCGUUUUGCAGCGGGGAGUAUUUUCAUCCCUUCUUUCACACAAGAGAGCAAGAGCUCCGAUGCACAGCCGAAUCUUCUAGCCUUGGCAAGAUUAUAAACCAAGGAUGAAUACGUAAAGGCAUCUCUCACCUCCAUCGAUUCAGACAUUUUCAUAGCAAGCUCGUGAUUACCAGAUUUAGAUAGUAUGUCAAUAACAGAGUUUGUAGCAGCUGAGGUGGAAUCAAAACCCAUCAUAUCCAUACGCUGCAGGUGUCGUUGAGCUUCCUCAAUUUGACCUGCCUUACACAAUCCAUCCACAAUUAUAGUAUGUGUGUAUUUAUCACAUUCCAAACCACUCUUUUCGAUUUGGUCAAUCAAAUUAUAAACAUCUUCAACCUUUCCUUCUUUACAUGAGAGAUUCAGUAGUGUAUUAUAUGACACUAAAUCAAGCUCAAUACCAUUCUUUAUCAUCUCUUCCUUCAACACAGCUGCCUCUUCAACUUUACCAACCUUGAGCAGAGCACCGAGAGCCGUGCAAUACCCAAAGCCAUCAUAAGUAUACCCUUUACUCUUCAUCUCUUCCAAUACCCUAAAACCUUGGUUGAAUUUCCUACACUUAAACCAACAAUUCAUCAUCGUGGUAUAAGUAAUAGCAUUGGCAGCGUGCCCAGAAGCCUCGAAUUCUCGAAUAACCCGUCUAGCAGCUCCCAAUUUCCCAGCUUUACACAACCCAUCAAUGAGAGUAUUAUAAGUAACCACGUCCAGAUCGAAUCCACGUUCCUUCAAACACGAAAAUAAACUAAGCGCCCUGGAAGCAAACCCGUUCUUGCAGAGACCAUUGAUCCAAAUGUUAUAAGUAUCAAGGACAGGUUCUAACCCCAUUGAUUCAAAAAUUGUGCAAAUCUUAUAAGCUUCCUCGGGCUUUCUCUCCUCAAAGAAAGAGUGCAUCAAAGUGUUCAAGGUACAAAUAUCAGGGGAAAUGUUUCUGUGAAGCAUUUCGUCGAACAGGCAAGUGGCAUAAUGGAACAAGCGGCGUCUAGUAGCACCGGCGAUCAAUGUAUUGAAAGAUAUCACAUCCGGUCUAAUCCCAGCUUCUUCCAUUUUUCCGAGAAUAGCAUAAGCAUCCUCGAAGCUGACGAGAUGACAGUACGCGUCGAUGAGCGUAUUGUAAGUGACGACAUCCGGAAGCACUCCCAGUCUAAUCCCAUCAUUAAUUACCGUCUCGGCUCGUUUCAAUUGCUUCGUCUUGCAGAAGGAACUUACGCAUUCAUUCAAUAGAAAGGUGCGUAAUGCCCACAUAACUCUCCCGAUUCCUACUCACUACCCCAAUUUGUAUUUCGCAUACCCAGAUAGGAGAUUACUCACCUCGCAUACGGCGGCAGCUGGGCAAGUCUGGGGAUUGGAUUCCCAAAUUGAAUCUUCGCAGAGAUUUAAUAAGGAGAAAUUCGAAAUCACCAGAUAUAUGGGAAGAAACUUGGAAAACUGGCGCUUCCCUCUCUCCAAAGCAAAGCAGGAUGCUUGUUCUCCGACGCCGACCUUUGUUUGUACAAAUGAAGCUUAACGAAAUGAAAAACCAAGUUGAUAGGCCCAGCUUAUUUUAAAAUUCGGGCCCGAUAUAACUUAUAAGCAAGCCCAACAACUCCAUUUACUGAAAGAAGAACCUUUCUUUUGUGCUUCCCUUUCAUCGUAGAAUCCUUAAAACAUACCUAGCAAAAUAGGUAACUCGGAGGGGGCCUUUUAGACGGGUGAUAUCACGAGAAGUAAUUAACUAAAAUGAUUAAUAUAACUCUCAUGGAAUUUUAGCGGCUAGACACAAACCAAGUCAAGACUUUAACGAUGAAAAGUGAAAAAUAAAAUUGCCGAAGUUCGAUUCGAGAUGAACCGGUUGAUGAUUGACGAAAUAACUAAUUCUACUGGUAUAAAGGAGAAAGACAAUUAUAUUCAACUUGAAAGAGGAAAAUGCUUAUAUUCAACUAGAUGAAGAAUGAACUAGUAGAGGAGGACUCUGAUUCAAUUGGAUGAAAGGUAGCCGCCUCCCCGGUUUUGGGCUGACGGGUUGCGGUAGCGGUUGUGGUUGCGGCUGCAAUUUAGGUGGAAAGAUGAAUUGCCCGGAGAUGGAGGAGAAAGAUGUUUAUUCGGGUAAAUCUUACCCACUGAAAAUUAUUGUAAGAAAUAAAAUUAAACAAGGCAUAAUUACCAUACUAAAAAGCCACCUAUCACCCUGGAUGAUGUGACAAUGUUAAUUAGACGAAAAAUAACUGUAAGAUAAUUGAUGGAGUAAGAGAAAGAGACGUUUAGCAAACUGAUAAAGUAUAAGAGGUAAAAAUAAUAUUUAAUAAUAAAGGGGCCUUAUUGUUAACUUGGUAAAGUAAAAAGGGCAAAAAUACUACUAUCCCUUUUAUAAUUACUAGUUAUGAUUUAAAUUGCAAAAUAGUUGGAAGCGAUGUCGGAGGGAGAAUAUCGUUUGCCGCGGUUUAUCGGUCGUCCUAUUUCAAUAAUUAUAUUAUUAAUUUACGAGUUAAAAUAUAUAAAUACAAAUUUUACAACAACAUUAUUAUGAUUAAUAUUUAAUAUAUUGUACAUAUUGUAUAGUUACAACUAUUAAUUUCAAUAAUUAAUAUUAUCAAUUUACAAAUUAAAAUACAUAAAUAUAAAUCUUAAAUAAAAAAUUAUUACCAUCGCCAUUGCGAUGGUGUACACUAUACAGUCGUCAUUUAAUGAUAACAUAUCUAUGAAACCAUCACUAUUGAUGGCGACGGUGUAUAUUGUAUUAUCGUCGUUCAAUGGCGACGAUAUUGAUACCCCGUCGGCAUUUUUAUUGGUGAUGGCGGCAAUAAUAGUACGACGGCGGCGGCUAGAAAUGUAAUUUUUUUAUUUUAUUUACGGACCUCGAAAUGGCAACGGCAACACGGGGAAACAACCGUUGCAAAUUACAACGAACAGAUAGAAUAAAUAGACAAUUAUGAUUAGUAGUUUCAAAUGAGAUACAUUUCUCGAAUAGAAAUUCCAGAAUUAUAUUGUGGCAGUGGUGGCGGCUAGCUUCUCAACUAUUUAAUAUAGCGCCGGAUAAAAAGCUCCCAAUCGCAGCAAAGGAAGAGCCACCGUCAACAAUGGCCGCCCUGCACUUUCCAGCCAUCUCUUUCACCUUCUUCCUCACCGCACUCUCCUCCUCCAUCACGCUUCUCACUGCUCGCUCUAUCUCCUCCCCCGCCACAACAAUUUGAUGAUCCCCGUCAAAAUUAAGCCGGUAAUCCAACCUCAACUCAACCGCCACCCCCAACUCCCUCACCAACUCCACUGCAUUGCUCUGUUGCUCUGCGUACAACGGCCAUGCCACCAUCGGCACCCCGUUCCACACACUCUCCAACGUCGAGUUCCACCCGCAGUGACUCACAAACCCUCCCACCGCCUUAUGCUCCAACACCUAACGUUCGUGAAAUAGCAUCAAAGCACAGAACAAGAGUGAAUUAAUGAAUGAGUGAUCAAUUAAAUAGCAGAUCACCUCGGCCUGCGGCGCCCAUCCGCAGAUCAUCCCGGUGCCAGCUGUCCUCUCCUGGAAACCUGGUGGCAGAAUCUCCACGUAGCUUUCAUAAUUGCCCGGAAGGGAUAAUGUUUCCUUCGACGGCGGCUUGCGGAUAGACCAGAGGAACCGGUAGCCACUUUUCUCCAGCCCGGUAGCUAUUUCCUUCAAUUGCAUCUCGCCGAAGGUUCCCAUGCUCCCAAAGCAGAGGAAGAUUACCGAUUGUUCCGGUUGAUCAUCCAGCCAUUUCAUGAUCUCGUCGCGCUGACCGGUCUUGCCGAAUCUCGCUUGCCCCUGACCCUUGAGAUCGAGAAGCGGCCCGACCGGGUAAAGCGGCGGAGGCAGAGCUCCGCCUGGGAGAAGCAGGGAGGUUAUGGAUUUUACUGCGUGAGGCUCGAGCUCGGCGAACGAAUUAACGAUGAUGCCUUUGGUUUCCCAAAACCUCCUGCCGUGGUACGUCAUCGUGGAGUAGCCGCCGCCGCGAUUGUCGAGGAGGACGGGAGGCAGGAAGGGAGGAGGGAGAGGGAUCGGGGUGGCGUAACUCGGGACCAGUACCGACUCGGCUGGAUCGUCCAAUUCAAAGCCGGUUCCAACUCGGUCGUGGCGGAUCGGGAGGUAGAGCAUGAAACCUAGAAACGCGAUCGAGGAAGUGAAGAAGAGGAAGGAAGGAAUUCCGAGCUCGUUAGCGACGUCGAUCAUUGAAGUGCAGAACAGAUCGAUUACCAGGCCGGCCACGUGACCAUUGAGAAUGAUUGCUUCCUUGACGAGAGGUUUGUGGGCCUCGAUUACGGCGGAUAUGACAGCCUCCGGGGAUUGGGGAAGACCGGGAGCUGAAGGAGAAGGAGGCGGGGAUAGACGGGAGAGGGUAAGGAAUUUGAUUCGGGUGUCGGCGCCAUCGUUUGUGGAGGAAAUUGAUUGGAUGUAGUUGUCAAUAUCGUCGCCGAACGGUGGGGGGAGUUUGAUUACGAGGACGAGGACGGAGAAAUUGGGGUCGCGACAGAGCAAGUGGCGGGCGAACUCGAUUAUGGAGACGAGGUGGCCGACUGCCGGAGCAGGAAGGAAAGCUAGUUGCGUUUGCGUCAUGGGGUUAUUGGUGAUCGGAGUUGAUUUUCCGCCGCGGAUAUCCGGUGGCUGAAGGAUAAUGUUUUUUACUUUUUUGUGUGUGACGUGGCUGAAGGAUAUUCAUUACUAUAAAGCCCAUUAAAGAGGCCGUAAAUGAGCUUAACGGGUCAGAUGAGAUUCAAGGCCCAACGGUCUUGGACUUGGCUACUUAUUGGACCAAAAUUAAAUAAAAAAUUUCUUGCUCAAUUAUAAUGUAUGACUUACAUUACUUUUUAUUUUCCAAUACUUAAUUUGAAAUUCGAAAUAAAAAUCUCUCGAUCGUUCAAAAUUCUGAUAUCACGUUAAAAAUCAUUAUAUCCCGUAUGGUUUUAUAUUCCUAGUUCAUCCGAAUCUAAUUCAUAAUAAUUGUUCUGGAUGUGUUGACUUCAUAUGGUCAUCAGUUGAUCAUGAAUCAUGAUGAGUGUUAGCUUAGGUAGCUUUGGAUUACUAUUGGAGCUCAAUGAUACAUAUUCAAAGUCGUAAACAUUAAAAUAAAAAACAAACAAGUUUGUCGUUAUCAACUGCUCCUAACCUAACCAAUCUAUGCCACUUACGCCAUGUGAGCACCACCAAACACAAGAAUACAUCAAAGACAGACCAAUGGCUUUCAACUUCUACAUUUGUCGUUUCAUGGCUUCCAAGUUUAAAUAUCCUCCUUUGAGCAGCUGCUACACGAUUCUAGAGGAUAACACUCCUGUCCUUUUCCCUUUACUAUUACAAGCCACGAUGCUAAAUCAACGGAUCUCAAAUCUGACCAAAACCUGUCGGGUUGACCGUGAGUGAGUGAACUUCCAACCACAGAAUUUGGUUUGGGAGAUGAAGGAGUUGUCAACUUGUCUGUGAUUAAUGAAUGAAACAUGCUGGCCAGGCCAGUUAGAGCAUCCCGUCUCGAAACGAACAUUUGGUCGGAUCACCUUUCUAACCAAUUUAUAUUCACUUGUAUAAUCUAAUCUAAUCAACUCAAAGUGGGUGAGUACGGGUUGAUUAAAUAGUGUCUCGCGCAAAAGUAAAUAAGUUAAUUUUGGUGGCGGUUGAACAUACCAAACCCAUCCACCAUCCUUGUAUCAAGCAAGCACACCAUAAUACCUAUAAUUUUCUAUCAUAUCUAUAUAUUUCGUUCUUUUAGAAAUAGUCCUUACUUUUCUCACUCUUUCGUACAUAAAUCAUCACUAGUUGACUAUAAAUAACAUCUCCAUAACUUAAUGAGGCAUCUUCAAUUCCUGAUUUUCAGUAUUUGAAGAAAAAAUGAAGAUACUAUUCGUUAGAUUGUGACUCACCUAACUCAUUUGCCAUUACUCAUUCAUAUUCAAUAAGUAGAUGAGUGCAAGUGAUAGAAACAGUAAUCAGCUAUUUUGAUAGGUAGAUUGGUUUUAAUGACAAACAACUGAAUACUCACCCAUAAAUUGUACCCACCUAACUCAUUCAUUAAUCGCCCUCACCCAUAUGCAACCAUUCAUAUUUAACGAGUCAAUAAAUACGGACGAUAGAAAUAGUAAUCCGCCAUAUUAACAGGUGGACUAGUUUUAACGAUAAAUCCAACCCAACAGUACAAUUUCAGAGUGGAGGAUAAGUGAAAUACAGAGGAAGACAAAGGGGAUAGAUUGCAUUAAAAUUUGAAGAAGGUGGGAUUUAGGAAUAAAAUGUGUUAAGUAAUGAGCCAUGUGCAAAUGCAGACAAAUACAGCUACAAACAUCGAAUCUUUCACAUGUUUCUACAUCUAACCCAUUAAAAGAUAGCAUAACAUAGAGCCAAAAUGGAGACAUCCCCACAUAACUACCCAACUCAUCAACUCAAAUCCAUCCCCAACCACAUCCUCAAGAAGCUUUGCUCCCACACCCAAUCCUUUCCUCAUCAGGACUACCCACCUCUCCUACCAAAUCCUUCCAACUUACAUUGGACAAAAGAACAGCUGUAAGAGUAUAUAUUACAACACAUGACAAUGUGACCAACAACAAAGACAUCCAUGCUAGGAUGAUGAUGAUGAUGAUGAUGUCCAUCACCUCCCAUCGACCGACGUGAAUGAGUCAGCGAACCCGUACGGUCUGGUGGGUAUGCUGGUCUGAGUGUUGUCUAAGCUCGGUAGCAGCGAAGAAGACGACGACUCCAUAUUGCUUCUUCCUUCAUAAGCUUGCCAUUUCUUCAGUGCUUGUGGCAACGACAUGUCUAGAUCGAUCCCGUAGAUGUCCUCUGCGUUCUGGUCGGUCGGUUUCCAUAGUUCCACUAGAGAGGAUAGAACGUUCACCGCGUGGCCCAUGUCUGGCCUUUGGUAUGGCUCUCUUGCGCAGCAGUGACCUGCCAACUCGGCUACCGUGCUGAUGCUCGCGAGGGUUUCCUCUGUUAGGUCGAGAGUUGGGUCGAUGGCCUUUCUGAAUGAGUCCUUGUUGAGGGACAUUCUCUUGAACCAUGUUACUAGAUGCAUGCUCUCCUCUGGCUGGGACUCAUCUAGAGCCUUUCUGCCGGUGAUCAACUCCAUUAGUAUCACACCGAAGCUAAAGACAUCAACUUUGGUCGUCACUCGUCCAGUUACUGCAAUCACAUUACCCGAAACAACAUAAGCCAUGCAAGUUCUGAGCUUCAAGUUAAUUAGGAAAAUCAGUUAUAAGGAAGUAAAAGCAAUGAAGACAGAAGCUUUACCUGCAUAUUCUGGUGCUAAGUAUCCAAAAGUUCCAGCAAUCCUAGUCUCAAUGGAGCCUUUACCCUCCGGUGCAAGACGCACAAGACCGAAAUCCGACACCUUUGCUCUCAUAUCAUCUCCAAGAAGAAUGUUGGAAGGCUUUAAAUCUCUAUGUAUGAAGCUUUGAUGUGCCAAACCAUGAAGGUAUUCUACCCCCCUCGCAACAUCCAACGCUAUAGUCAACCUCCUAGUCCACUCCAAGGGUCUCAAUCCCUCUUCUGCCCAGUUGAAGAGAUGGCUGCUAAGUGUUCCUUGCGGCAUGUACUCAUAAACAAGAAGCUUCUCAUUGCCAUCAAUGCAGUAACCAAGCAAUGCCACAAGGUGACGGUGCCUGACUUUGGUCAACACAGCGAUUUCGGACUUAAACUCACCAAUUCCCUUCCCAGUUAUAACUCCUGACUCCAUCCUCUUCACAGCAAUCUUAGUUCCAUCAUGCAACUCGCCUUUGUACACCACACCAAACCCUCCUGCACCUAAAAUGUUCUUCUCACUGAAAUUAUCUGUAACAUUCUUCAAGACUUGAAUGGAAAUCACCAUGUUCCCCGCUUCAAUCAUCUGAAUCUCGCCAUGCUGAUGAUCGCUCGUUGUUCCUAUCAUAUGAGUCUCGCUGAGUGCUCCAACAUUGACACUAGAUCCGGCAACCGUAAUUUUCACACUCUCGUUAUCCGAACCGGAAUGGCGAGGAUGAACCACCAUCACGUUGGGGCUUUGAACUCUAGUAAACCUCUUCUGUUUCCUUUGAUACACACAAAAGACCAACACUGCAAUAAGGAAAAUUAUGAACACACCACCAAUUACUGAAAACACAAUCACCCCAACCAUGGAAGAUGAUUUCUUCUUGCCACCAUUUCCAUCACUUCCCGAACCACCAUCACCGGAUGCUGCUUGACCGGUCGAUGGCGACGAACCAUCCGGAGACAAACUACUAGCAUCUUUCCCUAUAUCUUUGUUCCCAUCCGUUUUCAAAUCAACUCCAUUCUUAAAGCUUGGAACUUUACCAUAAAUGUGAUUGUUUGCAACGUCAACUUCCUUCAGCAUUGGCAAGGAAGCAAGCUCCUUUGGAAUUGUCCCUGUCAAGUUAUUAUCAGCAAGAACCAAUCUUUGCAACGAAGUAAGCAAAGCAAAGUCUGGAGAUAUAGUCCCCACAAGACCCAUCUUCUGGAAAUUAACAACAGUAAUGUUGUCACCACUGCAAGAAAUCCCAAGCCAAUCAGCACAAGGAUCAUUCCCCUUCCAUUUCUCAGCAAGCCUUUGAGGAUAUCCCAUAGGUUUCACAAUCGAAAGCAAUACAUUAACCCUCGAAUCGCAUUGUCCCGGUGUUGGCAAGCAGAAGCUGUUGGAAUCCUUCACCAUAUCCACAGCAACCGAGCUCUUGAACUCAGGAGCAGGCCCUUGUAACAAGUUAUUAGUCAAAUUCACCGCCUUUAACGAUUCCAACUUGGUCAAUGAAUCCGGUACAGGGCCAGUAAACAAAUUAUCCCUCAAGCUCAACUUUUCCAAGCUCGUCAACCCUCCAAAAUCAGGCAAGGGACCCGAGAAUCCAUUAUCAUGUAACCAAACUUCUUUCAAAGAGGUCAUGUUCUGCAACAAGUCAACACUCCCAGUCAACUUACCCUGACCUUUCUGCCCGUUAAGCCACAAUGACUCAAUCGGCGAACCACCGGAAGCAACACCAUCAGGCAAAACACCCUCCAAGCUAUUAAACGCUAAAUGAAGAAUAACCAAACCAGGAAAAGCAUCCGGGUUGAAGAAGAAACCCGGGAUUGACCCGGAUAUAUUGGCCGAAUUAGCAGAGAAAUUCUGCAGCGAAGAAGCAUCCUUUACACUUUCCGGAACUUCCCAGCUUGAAAAUGGGUUGUUAUCAAUUUCCAUGGAUUGUAAAGAGGUUAAACCUUUGAAGAAGUCGGCGGGGAUUGAAUCAAAGAGGUUGUCACUAAGCAUCACGACCUGGAGCGACCCGAGUCCGGAUAGAGUGGGCAGAGGACCCGAAAUGCUGUUCGAUUGAAGCUCCAGUCUUUCGAGCUGGGUGAGGUUCCGGAGAUCUGGUGGGAGAGUGCCUUUGAGCUGCUGGUGACCGAUUUGGAUUCGGGUGACCCGGUUGUCGACGUCGGAGCAGCCGACGUGGUCCCAUUUGCAAGGAUCCGGGUCGGACCAUCCGAGUGUGGCUGGAGGGUUGAGGGUCUUCUUGAGAGCAAACAUUGCCGGAGCAUCUUGGGUUAAGGAGCUUGCCGGUACAGAAAGUACAGAUAGUAACAAAACCAGGUGGAAGAGCUUGCAGGGAUACCUCUUCUUUCUCAUCAUCAUGAAGAGACAGAGGAUUGGUUGGAAGUAAUGGGAUGAUGGAGGAGAGUGAUUGGGGAAAAGGGAGGAGAAAAGUUGGGGUCUUGGGGAUGUUUGGGGGGUGGGAAGAGGAGUAUGGAGAAAUGGGUUGGAAAGGUGCUGUAAUUGAGGAGGAAAGCACAUGGAUGAAGAAAGAUGAAGAAGAUGAAGGUGGUGGUGGUGGUGGCCCGACAGAGUUUUCAGAAUAUAAAGCUGUAAUGUAAGUAACAUGGUUUUUAUGAUUAUUGCUAUUUGUUUUUUGUAAAACUGUGUCAAUCAGCUUUUGCUUGCAUGGUGGUUUGUUUUGGGGCUCAAGUUUAUGCCAUUUUUAUGUCUGGUGUGUUCUCAUGUAAGAAGAUUUCCAAACAAGGGCCUUAUUUGGAUGUUGUGAUGAACUGAUGAUGGUGUUGUGAUGUACCCUUUGUGUAUGAGAGUAGCGGAUUUUCGAUAAGGUUGAGAAUAGUUGGACCUCGACGAUGCACCAAUUUUUAAAUUUUCGAUCUCAUAAAUUGAUAUACUUUUAAAUUUCAGUCACACUUUAAUAUAAAUAUACAUACACUUGUAACUUGAUAUAGUUCCGAUCAUAAAAGUUGAUAUAGUUUAAACUAUAUCAACUUUAUGAUAUAGUUUUGAAAGUGUGAUGAUUUUUUGUGCUCCUUUUUCAUAGCUUUAUAUAAAAUGAAAAGGAAGAGGAGGAAAAGAACAAAAUCCCACUGGAGUUUGGCUGGAUUGCAUGGACGUAUUAUUCUACUACUACCGACUCUACAACUCUCCUUUUGAAGUUUUGAGCUUUGGGACAGCUCAGCUUCCAACUUCCAAUGAGAAAAGAAGCUCCUAGUGGACGCUUGCACACAUAAUUGGUUGGUCAAUGGGGAUUGAGUUCGGAUAGUUGUUUAACCAUUUGACCGAUCGAAUUGAUUAUGUUACAGUUAAUCGACCGGCUUCAAUCUCGACUACAAUUUCACCGACUCGGUUGACAGAAAUUGUUUGAGUGGUUUGUUUUGGUUAUGUUGCUCGACAGGGUUAGCGAGUCAGCCAGGUCAGUUAAGACAUCCGUCAACCACACAUUAACCAUGGUCUGACCGAUGACCGCCACUGUGUAACUUAAUGACCAAAAUGAAUCUUGACCAAACUUACGGUUAAGCCAAAACAAGUAGUUAAUUGGUUGUAACCGAAAACCAGAACAGAACAGUUCUCCACUGCUAGCAUUUGUCUUGUUUUUUUUAUAGUAAUGUGAACUUCGAAUCUAUAUGACUGUUCAUUGUUUAUUAUAACAUUGUCAUUGAAUGAAUCCUGUGGCCUGUUUAAAUGAGGGAGGGACCUGAAUUUUGCACAGGAAUAAUGCACAUUUAGACAUAUAGGUCCAGGUCAAGACUACACAUCCACAAACAACAUAUUACAAUCUACAAACAACAACAGAGUGCCAACAGCCUGAGGAGAUUCUACGUCGUCGUAGUAGUUUUUCCUCGUCAUCUUCAUUCUCGUACUCAUAAUCAUCGUCGGAGUCUUCGUCGUAAUAUUCUUCCUCGUCGUCCUCAAGGCUCCUUAAUCGUUCUUGAAUUCUGUCUCUAAUGGCUGUCCCCUGCAACAUGAUGACCCAAUGAAUGGUUAUAAUUCGUUUGGACUGGACUAGACAGUGAGUAAUAAUAUCCUGUUGUGUAAAAAUAUCGACGAGCAUGAUCUAUAUUACGCUAGAGACGUCUUGUUAUUGGCAUAAAGUGCAGAGAUUUCAGAACCUAGAAUUUCAUUUAGCUUUCAUGUUCCUUAAGGGUCUAGGUAGAAGAGAACACUGACCAUUUUAUGGCAACCUUCCUCAAACAUCUCAAGAAACCCAGCAACCAAUCGAUCAGCAUUCAAGACCCAUUAGUUGCGUUGCAUUGCCACCGUUUGAAUCUGUAGGGUGAAAGACAUACAGAGGAAGCAUUUAGAGAAAUAAGAACUGAACUGGAUGGCAAAUGAUGUAUCAAAGCAUCAAAUGAGAAGUAAAUGCAGAGGAAGCACAGAUUUCUCAAACAUACAAAAUUCUAAACAAAGAAAUAUGAUGCCUCUAAAAGUUCAAAAGAAUCCAAGGAAGAAAUUUUACAACUUGUACCAUUCCGAAACAUCAAAUGAUCUUUGAUACGCAGUAAUCAUGGCAGCCAUUUAACGAGAAAAGGCAAGCAAAGGAGCGUAAGGUUUUGAGAAAGGGAGAAGAAGAAAAACGCACCCUUUCUCCAACUUUCCCUUGUUGCUCUUUCACUUUCUCUUGUAGUUUCUUCAAUCUCAUGUUGACCCUCAGUCGCUUUUCCUAUUCAACAAGAAAUGAGUAAAACUGGUUAGACAGUUGAUUCUGCAACACACUGUGAAGACCAUGGAGUUCCAAUGUGCUCACACCUUUACAUAGCUUACACCAAGUUCCUUCCUCGUAUAUCCUCAGUCCAGCUUACGCAGAACAUACUGAUUGUAGUCCUUAAGAAUCUUCAUCAUAAUGUCAGAUGUCGAGAUCCCAUCAGUUCUUUUAGUCUCUUUAAAUCUCCCAACUUUUUUCACCUACCAUAGAGCCACCACAAAAAUCAUAAUCAUAUCAUCUGUUCAUGGAACAAAACCCUUGUUUAUGAUGCAAUCCGAUGCAGGAUGGAAAAAAAACUAUAGCUUUCGACUUACAAACUCAUAAACAUCAUUCCCAGCUCCACUCGCAUCGGCAUAUCUACACACACAAGAAAUUAGACAUGGAGUUUAACCAUCAUAUAGAGAGUUCAGAAAUUCAUCAAACUAUAGCAGCCAACUCAACUCUCCUUAUUACUUUAACCAAUAUCAAUUGCUAUGUGAUCCCUUCAAAUCAAACUGAAGCUAAAGUCGAAGAACAGAAUAAAAACAUACGGUAAGGCAUCGUAGGCAACAUAAUCAAUCUUGUGUUUGUCAAGAAACUCCUGAUCGAUUACCCAAGGUGCAUCAGGAAUGACUUCAUCCACCCACCUAAAACGAAAUCAACACAGAGAGCCUUACUUAGCUUUAACAUUCGAAUCACAUUUCCAAAAACAUAAAAUACAGUUACGAUCCAUACUUGCAGUGGCGAAGGGAUUCGUAGCGCUCAGCUGCGGUCAUGACAGUUUUCCCCUUGUACUUGUGAGUAGUUUCGUCAUUGCAACAUCCAACGAGUAGAUACGAAUUCGGAAACCUUGCGAUCCAAACACUUUGAGAAUCAAAUCCACAGAGCUAGAAACAGAGAGGAAGAGAGGAAAGGUCCCGGGGGAAAGUAAACUAACGAUUUCUUGGCUUGCUCGAGGGAGGGAGCGUGGCUGAAGUGGAAGAGAUCGUAGAUCCCGUCAGCGUAGACACGUACAGGCUUGUCGGAGGGCAUCGGUUGAUCGGAAUUGCCGGCGACGUUGAUUGAGGAUAGAUCGGGAGGGUUUUGAGCCGGGGAAGAGACAACUAGAUUUCCGCUCGAGUUCUGCGCACCGCCCAUCGGCUGGAAAUCGCCGGAGAAUGGAAUAACUAAUUUACCGCUCCGUCAACGGCAGUGUCCGAUCUGACUGGACUGUGCUUCUUUCUCGUUCUAGUUAAGUCAUAAGUGUGUUGUGCGCGUUGUUCCCGCCUAUAUGUAUGUGAAUUGUGAUUCUCAACUGUCAGAUUUAAUCAUCACAAUCUAACGGUUCAGAACUAAAGGUUACAAAAAAUUCUCUGGUAGAAAUAACGGCCAAGAAGGUUGUUUGGAUGAGAUAUUUUGAUUAAAAUAAAAAAAUUUCAGUUAUUUGGGUUAAAAUAUUUCAUUUGACAUCCAACAUAAAAUUUGUGAUAUUUUAAAUUGUGGUAUUUUAAAUAACUCACUUUCGAGUUAUUUCAAAUACCUCAUCAGAAUAACUCGUUUGACAAUCAAAACAAAAUAUGUGACAUUUCGGAUUGUGAUAUUUGAAAUAACUCCUUUUUUCGUUAUUUCAAAUACCUCCCCACCACCUAUUUAUUUGAAAUCCCCCACAUUAAAUAAUUCAAUAGCCAAAUGAGAUAAUUAUCACACCAUAAAACUUUUACACCUUAUAAAUAUCACAUUUUCAAGUAAUCUACCAUUUUAUUUCAAAAUACUAUAUAUCUAAAAUACUUCAACCAGACGAUUUUCAUCUCCAUCAUGUAACUUUUUUUACUAUUACAAGCACUGAUCAUGAUCAACUAUUAAUUUCUUCAUGAAAAUAAUUGCUAAGUUGAAACGUGCCUACACUUUUAAUACUCGAGUACAUCUUGAAUCUAACUCCCAUCAUGUUACGUAGGAUUUAAAGUUUCCUACAAUUAUAAUAUCUUAUGAUCACAAGUGAACCUUCAUGGUGUGAACUCUCGAGUCGCCAAGCUCAAAAACUGCGGUGGUCCAAGCGAGUCUAAAGGUACUGAUCAUGGACUAGGAAGCGAUGAGAAUGGAGCCAAUAGUCGGCGUCUAUAAGUAGAACCGAACCUUUAUUUUGUUCGAAUUUAACAAUCGAUAUUCAAAAUAAAGACUUCUUGAACAUAAAAGAGAAACUAUAAUACCCUCAUAUACGUCCGAAGAUCUAGACUCUUCUCUCCAACCCAAACUUAUAAACAAAACGAAUACUGAAUAGUGAUAGUAAUCUCAUUUUAUAUUGUUUUGGUUAGUUGGUACAAACAUGCAUGAGGUUGUUUUUCCUUGUUUUGUUGUGAAGUUGAUUAAACGUAUUGAUUUGUAUAAUUUAUUAUUGUUUAUACGUGUUGAAAUGUAUGGUAAAAUCAUUGGGUUUUCACAGAAUUGUGUAUGGUCGAAGUUAACAAAACNNNNNNNNNNNNNNNNNNNNNNNNNNNNNNNNNNNNNNNNNNNNNNNNNNNNNNNNNNNNNNNNNNNNNNNNNNNNNNNNNNNNNNNNNNNNNNNNNNNNNNNNNNNNNNNNNNNNNNNNNNNNNNNNNNNNNNNNNNGAGAUAUAUUCCCUUUAAUCCCCCCCCCCCCCCCCCCCCUCUUUUCUCUCACGCCUAGCACUCGCCACAUUCAUCUCCCCUAUUACUGCACUCUCCGUACGCCCAAAAUCGAUCCGGUGCAUGCCGCCACAUAGUUCUCCGUGGAGCCGCCGUCUCCAUAUCCACUCUCUCACUCCCUGGUUGAUCGCCACCGUCGCCGGCCGCCGCGUACAUAUGCCAGAGCAGAUUAUUUAUAUGUACAAGACCCUUAAUUUCUGCCGCAAAUUGAUCACAUACAUCUCACGUGUUUGAAAUGGGACUUACAGCCACGUCAGCAAGAGACUCUUCCCAUUGAAACCCUAAUUAGGAGUAAUUGAUGGGUCUUACGCAAGUAUAUAUGAAGCCCAAUGGUUGAUAUAUGUUAUUUGUCGUCCCAUCUAAAAGGUUUGAUAGCGAUCAUUUAAAGGUUUUUUUUUUAUCAAUAUUAACUAUUAGGCUUAUUGAUCCCUCCUCACAUGUCACAUCAGUGUGACAUCUUGUUCUAUCACUUGACUUACAUUUAUGACAUGUCAUCUACCCUGCAUACGGCGCAUUCGCUAUACACUAUUACGUACUCUACACUAUAUGUUUAGUUGCUUACUGCUAGUCAUAGCUAGACUACUCACAAUCCAUCGAGCACUCUAUCGUUUUUUGUCUCCCAAACACUCUCGUACGUCCUUCUAAAUCAAUUCUCUUAUUACUACUCUGCCGUAUACUCCUUAAGAUGAACUAACUAUAACUCUAUAACUUCCAAGUGUCUACAAAUGAAAAUUCACACAGAUUAUUUUUUUCAACAGAUUCACACAAAUCUUUGAAGCACUGAUUAUCCACUAGCUAAAUAGCUUGGUAAAACAAUAACAUAGAAAAGAUAAAGUAUACGAGCACGAGGAACACCACGUAAUAGUUUAAUAAUCAAAUCAAGUAAAAUAUUGUACGCAUUUUGUAAUUUUGUUGAUUCGAAAAAGUUAAAGCUAGCCAGAUAAAUUAAAUUAAAUUAAAGAACCUCAAAAAAAAGCCAAACAAAUAAGAGCACAUUAACGAUGUGAUGUUGUAUAUUUUCUAAAAUAAUAAUAAUAAUAAUAAUCAAGAUGUUUAUAUUAUCGCUCACGGUUGGAGAGAUACCUCUUUUUUUCCUUGACGUCAGUUUGAAUAAUAUGUAUUUUGAGAUUGAUCAUUAAUACAUGAAUACACCUUUGCUUUUUUAAAAAAUACAAAGAUCGAAAUAAAGUCGCAUGCGGUACCUUACUUGUACAGCAGCUCAUAUCCAUCAUGAAUAGGACAUUCACUCAUUAACACAUCGGUUCUUAAGUCCAAAUUUCCACUCAAACUCCUCCAAUCAUUUGCACAGAAUGGGAGUUAACAUGAUUCAAAACGAAAAUUUUUUAAUUUCUAAUAUCAUAUUAAGAACUAUUUUUCCCACCAUACGCUCUGGGCACAAACAAUUACGAUGAAAGACGAAAAAAUACAUUGAACUCUUGCAAAAGCCACCAAUGCCAUUCAUGAUCCAACGAUCAACAAGCUCUCGCAGCAGUAGAAUACAUAGAGAAAGAAAGUAAUUAAAGAAACACCAUCGUAAAAUUAUUAAAAUUUUAAAUUACCAAAACAAGUAAGACGCUCCAGCCGCCAGCCUUCUAGAAGUUAAUAAAAAAAAAUUAAAAACUAAGAAAGGGCAAAAAGGUAAAUACCAAAAUAGAAGAAAGAAGAAACAAAUUUGGCUUGUUGUUUUUUUAAUGUUUCCUAAUAAUGGGAAAAUGAAAAUGGAGAAAGUGUAAGUAACACGGCAUUUACAUUGGUCAAAUGAUGUUGUUGUAGCUAAUAAAACGACAAAAGUCUGCCCGCCUAACUUUACCGUCUCUCUUUCUCUCUCCUCAAUACAAGAACCCACUUCCCCUGUUCUCAUUGGUUCCCGACGGCGGAGCUCCUCCGGUCUGGUCCCCCGCUGAUCCCUCCCCGGGCUGAAGCAACAGAUGAGGAUUAUCCGACGCCGUAUUGCUAUUAGUAGGACCACCGUCGCUAAUGCUAUUAUUAUUAUUUCCUAACGAAAACAAGAAUGGCGACGGCGAUUGAAACUGCGGCUGGUACUGCUGCAAAUGUUGGAACCCUNNNNNNNN
rnacentral:lncRNA from 1 species